rnacentral:lncRNA from 1 species
CCACCAUCACCAUCAUCUAGCCCCACACCAAUAGCUCCUACCACACCUCCACCCUACCAACCUAGUGAUCAAUCUCCUCCACCGCCGUCAUCAUCUAGCCCACCUCCACCAACUCCAACCACCCCACAAAUACCUCCAUCUAGUCCUCCUAUUACACCUCCAACAUACGAACCUAAUGACCAAUCGCCACCACCUUCAUUGAAUCCUCCAUCCAUUCCUCCACCACCUCCUUGUAGCCCACCCGCAACACCUCCAAUGGAACCGACUAAUGAGCAGCCUCCUCCACCAUCGUCGUCAUUGAGCCCUCCACCAGUAGCUCCUGCUACGCCUCCACCCUACCAACCUAGCGAUCAAUCCUCUCCACCACCACCAUCAUCUAGCCCUCCUGUUACACCUCCAACAUACGAACCUAACGAUCAACCUCCACCGCCACCUUUAAAUCCUCCAUCCAUUCACCCACCGCCUCCAUCUAGCCCACCUGAAACAUCUCCAAUGGCCCCAAUUAGUGAGCAGCCUCCUCCAGCAUCACCCACAUUUAGCUCCCCACCACCAAUAGCUCCUACAACACCUCCCCCUUACCAACCUAUUGAUCAGUCCCCCCCACCACAAUCAUCAUCUAGCCCCCCACCACUAGCUCCACCCACCCCACAAACACCUCCNNNNNNNNNNNNNNNNNNNNNNNNNNNNNNNNNNNNNNNNNNNNNNNNNNNNNNNNNNNNNNNNNNNNNNNNNNNNNNNNNNNNNNNNNAAACACCUCCAUCUAGUCCCCUUGUUACACCUCCAACACAGGAACCUAACAAUCAACCGCCACCGCCUCCAUUUAAUUUUCCGUCCAUUUCCCCACCACCUCCAUCUAGCCCACUUGCAACAACUCCAAUGGCCCCAACUAAUGAGCAGCCUCCUCCACCAUCAUCGUCAUUUAGUCCCCCAUCAAUAGCUCCUACUACACCUCCACCAUACCAACCUAGUGAUCAAUCCCCUCCACCGCCGUCAUCAUCUAGUCCUCCACCACUAGCUCCAGCCACCCCACAAACCCCUCCAUCUAGUCCCCCUGCUACAUCUCCAACCUACGAGCCUACCGAUCAACCACCACCGCUACAUUGCCGUAAGCCCGGACGUGGUCCAAAUCCCCAUGGCGGUGAUGGUCAUAGUAAUAACGGUCGAGGACCACCAGAAAAGGAUUGCAGUGAAGCAGAGACAUCACCGCCAUCGCCCGAGCCAUCCCCAAACCAAGGUAAUGGUUCACCAUCACCACCGCCACCCCAGUCUUAUUAUCCACCCAUGGCUCCACCUCCAUUAGAUUCUAGUCCUCCUACACCACCACCACCGUACCAACCUAGUGAUCAAUCCCCUCCACCCCCGUCAUCCUCUAGCCCCCCACCACUAGCUCCAGCCACCCCACAAACACCUCCAUCCAGUCCCCCUGUUACACCUCCAACAUACGAACCUAACUAUCAACCGCCACCGCCUCCAUUGAAUCCUCCAUCCAUUAGCCCACCACCUCCGUCUAGCCCACCUACAACACCUCCAAUGGCCCCGACUAAUGAGCAACCUCCUCCACCAUCAUCGUCAUCUAGCCNNNNNNNNNNNNNNNNNNNNNNNNNNNNNNNNNNNNNNNNNNNNNNNNNNNNNNNNNNNNNNNNNNNNNNNNNNNNNNNNNNNNNNNNNNNNNNNNNNNNNNNNNNNNNNNNNNNNNNNNNNNNNNNNNNNNNNNNNNNNNNNNNNNNNNNNNNNNNNNNNNNNNNNNNNNNNNNNNNNNNNNNNNNNNNNNNNNNNNNNNNNNNNNNNNNNNNNNNNNNNNNNNNNNNNNNNNNNNNNNNNNNNNNNNNNNNNNNNNNNNNNNNNNNNNNNNNNNNNNNNNNNNNNNNNNNNNNNNNNNNNNNNNNNNNNNNNNNNNNNNNNNNNNNNNNNNNNNNNNNNNNNNNNNNNNNNNNNNNNNNNNNNNNNNNNNNNNNNNNNNNAUAGUGAUCAAUCCCCUCCACCACCGCCAUCAUCUAGCCCCCCACCACUAGCUCCAGCCACCCCACAAACACCUCCAUAUAGUUCCCCUGUUACACCUCCAAGUUACGAACCUAACUAUCAACCGCCACCGCCUCCAUUGAAUCCUCCAUCCGUUCCAACACCACCUCCAUCCAGCCUUCCCGCAACACCUCCAAUGUCCCCGACUAAUGAGCAACCUCCUCCACCAUCGCCAUCAUCACCAUUAAGUCCACCUGCCACACCUCCAAUGUACCAAGCUAACCAACCACCGCCGCCGGCACCGACACCACCACCACCUAGUCCUUCAGCAACAACGUCACCACCUGGUCCCCCUACUGGUACUAAUGGAUGGGUGCAAGUUCAUAACUUCCGUGACACUUUGUACUGGCAAAUCGCACGCUUUGCGGUAUUAAUGCACAAGUUGGUAUACAAGAAGGAGAUGACCCUUGUCGAUGUGUUGUAUGUGAGCAUGCAGCCUUCGGGAAUUGGCAACAACUACUUUCUUGAGAUAAAAGCUGCAGAUGAGAAUAAUAAGGUCGGCAGGUAUCAAGUGCUUGUAUGGGGUGUGCCUGGGUCAACAGCUCAGCCAUGGAAAGUACUGUCGUUUAAAUUUAUAGGAUACUAAGCACAUGGUGAAAAUAAGAAUCUAGCUAGUAGCCAUGUUUGGUAUUUCUAGGGAAAAGAUAUAUAGAAUUUUUGUGGUCAAUGUGCGCCUGCAUGUCUGCAGAUUAGUUAAUCUUUGUAGCACUUAGGGGCUUGAUAUACCAAUAUAUGAUUCUGAUUUCAACGACAAAUUUUUUCGUGUUCUUAUUCAAAAUUGCCUCAAAUUUAUAUAAUAUGGUUGGAGAUAUGAUCAUAUACCUAGAAGCGUAAGCACGCUUCGCUGCGCCAUUUGUUUGAUGGUUACCCUGUACCUGUUAAAGUUUUUUGCUUAUUUGUAGUUCACUAUUUGUUAGUUCUAAUAUUGCUACAAGUAGUACUAGUUGUUAACAUUAAUCGUGCCUGCAUGCUGGCAAGAAAUAUCCUAGGCAGUAAAGCUGCAUGGAUGCAGCUAUGAAGAGCAAAGAAGAAGGUGAAAAAUGCAUGUAGUAUGACGGUAUAGCGGGUCAAAAGAAUUUGACUAGUAGUCUUUGCUGAUAAGUAAGUGACUAGUUGCACAAAGAAUGAGCUGCAUGUAAGCUAGAUGCCAAAGUCAAUUUGGCUAGCCAAUAAGUAAGAGAACAUGAAUUCAAUAUCAGAAAGAAAACACACAUAAUUACUGACAGGUUGACUCAAGCAGGACCAAGUAUAUGCACAAAAUUAAGAGUGUCAAGAGGUUGCAUUUCCAUGACUUGUUUUAGAAAUGUAAGUGCAAGUGCCUAACUCGGUAGCGUUGAAACUUGUACUCGGUUACAUCAGCCUAGUCAUCCUAGACAUAAGUUUAGAACCAAAAAGGAGAGUUGAAUAAGUAAUCAGCAGCAGCACAUGGAAAAUGAUGGCUAUCACGCUUCAUAGUUAAGAAGCAACCGUUUUCAGUGUAAAUAAAAAAUAUUCGGCAAGAAAAUGAGACGUAAAAAGGAGUAUUGAAACUUCAAAAUUGAAAUCAUAGUGAUACGCCUUCUCAUCAGCCAAAAAAAACUAUGGCAAAUAACUUAGUCAGGUUCAACUACAGGGGAAAACCUAACAAACAGGAUAGCCAACAGAGGGCACCCCAACACCUGCCACACAAUCGAAAAGAAAAGCACCCACCAUAUUUAGCCAAAAGAAUACAUACAUGCUGCGCCCAAACAUUUAAUCUUGGAACAAUAAUCUUAUGAAAUACACAUGCAAGCAGUUUUUGUGUUCAUAAACUUGACAGAACCUGAACAAACAAAAUGAUCUAGGGGGACACAACACAAUAUGAUAUCAUCAUUUUUGUGUUGGCGUGAUCGUAUUAGAAGAAAAUAAUUCCACUCUUCAGCCGUCUUUCAGCCUUCUAGUCAAAUUAUAUUAUAUGGCAAAGAUUUAAAGCGAGUCUAAGGUACUAACAGCCUUUUGGCCUGAUGCUGAUCUUCGGUGUAGGCACACGUAUUGUAUUUGCAACUGUAAGUAAACAUGGGGAAGGGCAGGUGUUACCAAGAACACUUCCAGCAGCAGCUCUGAAAUCACCAGAAUUAAAUUAUGCCUCUUCCACAGGGUUAGAAAUAAGAGGAAAAGCUGACCAUGAGCAAGGCCUCACUACGAGGAUCUUACUUUCAGAUGGUAGGUAAGCAGAUGCAAAUGCAUAAUAUUCCCUCCUCAUGGUAAACAUACAACCUUCCAGGCAGGGGAAAAAGCUUGUUCAUUCACAACCUCUCAACUGGCAUCACCACAGCUUACCCUGUACAGAACAAGAGUAUUUUUUUAGAUGAUAGAAUAAGAGCAUUGGCAACCAGAUAUGUUUAUACUAGCUAUAACAGGGAUCAGUAUAUAUAGUUGUAGAGAACACUUUCUAUUUGGCCUUGUAGCAAUAUCUAGGGCUAGGCACGAGUAUUAAAUACGUACUUCACUUGGUCACGACGACUCCAAGAAGAUCAAGAGAGGUGAACAAGACGUGAGCCGACUUGUGAUCAGACUAUCUGACAUCAUAUAGCAAAAUCAAACACUGGAUCUAUUAUGGUCUCAAGAAAAUACAUGUCUUGCUUGCAGAAGAUGUAAUGCACUACCAGUUUUACCACCGAAAGAUGCAUGGUUUCAGCCAUGAAGAGUUGCCUCAGAUUCUUGCUUAGUGAGAUCAGAUGAAGGUUUUAGCUAGUGAUAUUCUAGAUGAUCCCUUGUCAAUAAUAGGUGGGUGCUGCAACCACAAUCAGUAAAAUAGUAAGCCUUAACAACUAACAAUGCUGAACAAUCAACACAAUCAAUGGGUAACAAGCUGCAAGACUUAUCAACAAAAAGCUAUAUCCCAAGAAAGGAAGAAAAUGAAUUAAAUGACUGUAUUGUUGCAUCGUGCAGAGAACAUAUUUAAACAGGCAUGGUAAGAAUGGCUAAGUAAAUAUAGGAGCAACAGCGUACAAUGGCUAAAACGGAUGUCCAGAAUAAAAUGGUCUACAUCUUCAUACUUAUUCACUUCAACCCACAAAAAGAGAUACAUAAAAAAAGGCCCUGCACAUAUAGAAGUGUAUAUUCGCUUAGACCUGAAAUUAACUAUUCGUUAAAAUCCUUACUGAACAAGUAUUCUGUACAAGUAAACUGAGAUGUCACUUCAGCGUCUUACUCUUCCCCAACAAACAACUUAACGACCAGCAGCUUGUAACAAAACCUUAAUUGUAUAUACAGAUAUGGUAGCAAGUUUUCACCAUCCUGCUUGGGUACUUCCAAUGGAUGACCAUUUCGAAUGUGCAAUGGGACCAAUUUAUAAGUUGCUGAAGUUCAACUCACAUUCUUCCCAACGCAAAAAUGAAAUACAUAUAACUAAAAAAGUGGCAUGGUGAUUGCAAAAUAGUCGACAAAGAAUACAAUCAGGAUAAAAUGAGCGUACCAUGUACACUAUUUGUUAUUAUCCUAAAAAAACUACUGUGUGUUAUUUGCCGGGGCCUUGACAUGCCCAUUUUUCACGCUAAUCAAACUCAGCCGCUUGACGAUUGCAAAAAAAAAAAAGAGUAGCGAGUCGAUGUAAAAGCAUGGGCAAAUUGGCGUGAAAGUAAAAUUGCACCUUUUGUAUGUGGUUUGUCUCGCUGAACCACAAUACCAUCAAUUAGCAUGACCAAGCGGAUUAGAAGGUGUAGCCUGGCAGUGCAUGGAGAGGGCUUGCCAUGGCGGUGCCAGCAGCGGCAUGGCGACUAGGCAGCCGAGAAGAGUUCCGGCAAGNNNNNNNNNNNNNNNNNNNNNNNNNNNNNNNNNNNNNNNNNNNNNNNNNNNNNNNNNNNNNNNNNNNNNNNNNNNNNNNNNNNNNNNNNNNNNNNNNNNNNNNNNNNNNNNNNNNNNNNNNNNNNNNNNNNNNNNNNNNNNNNNNNNNNNNNNNNNNNNNNNNNNNNNNNNNNNNNNNNNNNNNNNNNNNNNNNNNNNNNNNNNNNNNNNNNNNNNNNNNNNNNNNNNNNNNNNNNNNNNNNNNNNNNNNNNNNNNNNNNNNNNNNNNNNNNNNNNNNNNNNNNNNNNNNNNNNNNNNNNNNNNNNNNNNNNNNNNNNNNNNNNNNNNNNNNNNNNNNNNNNNNNNNNNNNNUGGACCGGAGUGACAUGCCGCGGCGAUUCGUCGAACAGGUGGUGCGCGUCCUGCGGGGGUGAGCGUCCCGGAGCGCGCGUGAGUGCUCCGUGGCGGCGGCGGAAGUGGCGUGGCGCUUCCAGCUGCGUGAGGGCGGUGAGAUGGAGGAUGAGCGGGAGGAGGCGGAGGAGCGGCGAGGGCGGGGGCGGAGGCGGUGGCGGACAUCGGCGUGGUGGAGGAGAGGCGAGACACUCGGCGAGUGCGAAGUCACUCCUACAUUUGAGUCUGCCUCUGUCCGGUAUAGUAGUCUGCCUCGUUCAUUUUGUCAAACUUUGACCGUAAAUUUCAAAAGUCAUUUUUUAAAACUUUUAUCAAAUUUAUUAUGAGAAAAUACUGACAUCUGUAAUAUCAUAAAAAUAUAAAAGGAUAUUUCAUGAUGAAUCUAAUGAUACUGAUAUUAAUGUUCAUAUAUUUCUCUAUAAAUUUGGUUAGUUUAAAGAAGUUUUACUUUUGAAAAAACCAAUACACCUUAUGCCUUAUACUACUUUGGAAGGAAGGGAGUAUUUAAUUGUACUAGUCAAAUUUAUACUCAAAUUUAAUCCAAAAUACAAGGGGGCUUAUAAACCUGAAUGGAAGGAGUACUUGCAUGAACGUAUCGUUUCUUUCUUCCCGAGGAAGAAAGUGAUCUCACCGCCGCCGCUAGAAGCGUUUUCUUCCGUUGUCGUCCUCCGGUGGUUCCUCUUCGCCGACGAUCUUGGUCAUCAGUGGUGAGGGGUGUGGGGGUUGCCAGAUUCACUAUUACUAGCUUAGGUUUUGGACUGUUCAUCGUCUUGGUUUCGGCGACGGCGAUGACAGCGUGGAAUAAAGAUUCUUCAUGUCCUACCCCGACAAGAUGGUCGGUCCUAUAGUUGGGGAUGGAUUUGAAAUCCAAUCUGUUCAAGCAAGGAUGGUGCGGCAGCGGCGACAUCCUUGUGGUGGACCUGUGUCCUCGGCCUCCGCCGUUGUGGCGGCGUCUGCUUCAGUAUGAGCACGGAGCUUGGGAGGUAGUCCAAAAACGGAUGCAGAUUAUGGUCUGCAUUGGCGGCAUCUAGAAAAUGGUGAUCAUGUGCUGAGUCUGUGGUGCGUGGAUGGUAGGUAUGUUCCUCCUCCGGUAUCUUAGUCAUGUGAGGGGUGCCAGAUCUGGAGUUCGAUGGCGUAUACGGGGCGUUGCCUUGGUCCGAUUCAUUCAACGGUAAUGGUUUCAUCUUUGGCGAGCCCCAGCAAAGUUGCAUAUCAGCGAUAGAGCCACGUCGAGCUCGGGUGUGGAGGUGAUCUGUCAUGUUUUCCUUUGGUGGCUAUGUACUGUGGUAGUUUCAGAGGUGAUGAUGGGUGUUGGUAUCAAGCUCAGAGGAUUCUUAUAAUUUUACUUCUUAGCUGAUAUUCCUUUGUGUAAAGGCUAGCGUUUUAUUGUCUUUUUAGAUUUAUCGGGUCGCUAUGUACAUGGCUUGUACUAUGAUGUUUAUAAUAUAAAUGAGACACAUAUUACCAUGAAAAAAAGAGUACUUGUAUGUCUGACUUGUGUCGAUUAUAUCCCCUCUAAUGAAAAAUAAAUAAACUACUCCAACUAGUGGUAACUGCUAGAGUCUUCGUGUAUCUACAUUUAUUUAAAGUGAAUUUUAUGUUCAAGUAUAUAUUUCAAAAUUACAUGAUUUGUGGUACUUUUGUUGAAAGGCACUAAAACAGAUUGUUGUUCCCUAUUCUCAAUUAGUUGAAGUUUUGAAAAGAAGCUAGAAUUUCUUUGACAAACUUUUGAAGUGUUUCUUGGCCUAUCGCAUUUUGGGCAUGCCUUUCGCGUUCGGUGGCUAUGGCUUUACCGUACCGACAAUUUGUGACCAUGGCAUAGUCUGCAACUCCAGCAUAAUAUCAAGGUCCGAGAGCUCUUCUAUUCGGCGACUAUCAGCUCUGUGGGUGUCGGUGCAUCGACAUUAUUCUGGGAGGAUGCUUGGAUCGAUGGCAAAGGCAUUCGUGAGUUUGUGCCGAUGACUUUGUUCCUCAACCUCCUCGAACCACACAGUCUCGCACUAUGCGCGAAGGCAUGUCCAAUCAUGCUUGGAUCCGAGACAUUCAAGGUGCCAUCAGUGCUCUCUGAGCAUUCAUGGUGCAAUAUAUUGGACCGUGUUUGGUCUGUAUUAUUCCUCGCAUUUGUGGCCUGAUUCAACCUCGCUGAGCUACUACAUGCUCAGUGUCAUGUUUUGCACUUAGCUUGGUUUCUCGUAAAACCCGAACCUGCAUUAGAGGCAAACCACUAGCACCGUGUUUAGUUGCAAGCAUCUAAUACCAGAUGCAACAUGAUGGUGGUCGGCUAUGUUAAGACAUGCGGUAUGGUAACCUCUUGUUCGACUGGUGAGGCUAUUGAUUUCUACUACACAACCUUCUUCUUGUAGACGUUGUUGGGCCUCCAAGUGCAGAGGUUUGUAGGACAAUAACAAAUUUUUCUUAAGUGCAUGACCUAAGGUUUAUCAAUCCGUAGGAGGCGUAGGAUGAAGAUGGUCUCUCUCGAGCAACCCUACAACCAAACAACAAAGAGUCUCUUGUGUCCCCAACACACCCAAUACAAUGGUAAAUUGUAUAGGUGCGCUAGUUCGGCGAAGAGAUGGUGAUACAAGUGGUAUAUGGAUGGUAGAUAAUAAUUUUUUUAAUCUGAAAAUAUAAAAACAGCAAGGUAACUAAUGAUAAAAGUGAGUGUAAACGGUAUUGCAAUGUGUGGAAACAAGGCCUAGGGUUCAUAUUUUCACUAGUGUAAGUCCCCUCAAUAAUACUAACAUAAUUGGAUCACAUAACUAUCCCUCAACAUGCAACAAAGAGUCACUCCAAAGUCACUAAUAGCGGAGAACGAACGAAGAGAUUAUGAUAGGGUACGAAACCACCUCAAAGUUAUUCUUUCCAAUCAAUCCAUUGGGCUAUUCCUAUAAGUGUCACAAAUAGCCCUAGAGUUCGUACUAGAAUAACACCUUAAGAUACAAAUCAACCAAAACCCUAAUGUCACCUAGAUACUCCAAUGUCACCUCAAGUAUCCGUGGGCAUGAUUAUACGAUAUGCAUCACACAAUCUCAGAUUCAUCUAUUCAACCAACACAAAGGACCUCAAAGAGUGCCUCAAAGUUCUACCGGAGAAUCACGACGAAAAUGUGUGCCAACCCCUAUGCAUAGGCUCCCAUUGUCAAAAAACCCGCAAGUUGGUCACCAAAACAUACAUCAAGUGGCACGUGAUAUCCCAUUGUCACCACAAAUAUUCACGGCAAGACAUAUAUCAAGUGUUCCCAAGUCUUUAAAGACUCAAUCCGAUAAGAAUACUUCAAAGAGGAAACUCAAUUCAUUACAAGAGAUAAGAGGGGGGGGGGAGAAACAUAAGAUCCAACUAUAAUAGCAAAGCUCGCGAUACAUCAAGAUCGUAUCAUCUCAAGAACACGAGAGAGAGAGAGAGAUCAAACACAUAGCUACGGGUACAUACCCUCAGCCCCGAGGGAGAACUACUCCCUCCUCGUCAUGGAGAGCGCCGGGAUGAUGAAGAUGGACACCGGUGAGGGUUCCCCCCUCCGGUAGGGUGCCGGAACAGGGUCCCGAUUGACUUUUGGUGGCUACAGAGGCUUCUGGCGGCGGAACUCCUGAUCUAUUGUCCGUUCUGGAAGUUUUAGGUCACGUAGGUAUAUAUGGGUGCAGGAGGUACGUCAGGGGAGCCACGAGGGCCCCACGAGACAGGGGGGCGCGCCCUAGGGGGGGCGCCCCCCACCCUCGUGAGCACCUCAUUUCUUCCUUGACGUGGGGUCCAAGUCCAUCAGGUGUGUUUCCUUCCAAAAAUAACUUCUCUAGUUAAUUUCUUUCCAUUUUGACUCCGUCUGAUAUUCCUUUUCUUCAAAACACUGGAAUAGGCAUAAAACAAAAAAUCUGGGUUGGGCCUCCGGUUAAUAGGUUAGUCCCAAAAAUAAUAUAAAAGUGGAUAAUAAAGCCCAAUAUUGCUUAAAACAGUAGAUAAUAUAGCAUGGAGCAAUCAAAAAUUAUAGAUACGUUGGAGACGUAUCAAGCAUCCCCAAGCUUAAUUCCUGCCCGUCCUCGAGUAGGUAAAUGAUAAAAAGAUAAUUUUUGAUGUGGAAUGCUAGUUGGCAUAAUUUCAAUGUAAUUCUUCUUACUUGUGAUAUGAAUAUUCAGAUUCGAGAGAUUCAAGACAAAAGUUCACAUUGACAUAAAAAUAAUAAUACUUCAAGCAUACUAACUAAGCAAUUAUGUCUUCUCAAAAUAACAUGGCCAAAGAAAGUUAUCCCUACAAAAUCAUAUAGUCUGGCUAUGCUCCAUCUUCACCACACAACAUAUUUAAAUCAUGCACAACCCCGAUGACAAGCCAAGCAAUUGUUUCAUACUUUUGAUGUUCUCAAACUUUUUCAAUCUUCACACAAUACAUGAGCGUGAGCCAUGGACAUAGCACUAUAGGUGGAAUAGAAUGGUGGUUGUGGAGAAGACAAAAAGGGAGAAGAUAGUCUCACAUCAACUAGGCAUAUCAAUGGGCUAUGGAGAUGCCCAUCAAUAGAUAUCAAUGUGAGUGAGUAGGGAUUGCCAUGCAACGGAUGCACUUAGAGCUAUAAAUGUAUGAAAGCUCAACAAAAGAAACUAGUGGUGUGCAUCCAACUUGCUUGCUCACGAAGACCUAGGGCAUUUGAUGAGGCCCAUCAUUGGAAUAUACAAGCCAAGUUCUAUAAUGUAAAAUUCCCACCAGUAUAUGAAAGUGAUAACAUGAGAGACUCUCUACUAUGAAGAUCAUGGUGCUACUUUGAAGCACAAGUGUGGUAAAAGGAUAGUAGCAUUGCCUCUUUUAUUUAUUUUCUUUUUUAUUUGGCCUUUCUUUUUUUAUUUGGCCUUUCUUUUUUUGGCCUUUCUCUUUUUUUAUUGGGACAAUGCUCUAUUGAAUGAUGAUCAUCACACUUCUAUUUAUUUACAACUCGAUGAUACAACUCGAUACUAGAACAAAGAUGACUCUAUAUGAAUGCCUCCGGCGGUGUACCUGUUGGGGAACGUAGCAGAAUUUUAAAAUUUUCUACGCAUCACCAAGAUCAAUCUAUGGAGUCAUCUAGCAACGAGGGAGAGAGGAGUGCAUCUACAUACCCUUGUAGAUCGCGCGCGGAAGCCUUCAAGAGAACGGGGUUGAUGGAGUCGUACUCGUCGUGAUCCAAAUCACCGAUGACCUAGCGCCGACGGACGGCACCUCCGCGUUCAACACACGUACGGUUGGGAAGACGUCUCCUCCAACUUGAUCCAGCAAGGGUGAAGGAGAGGUUGAUGAAGAUCCAGCAGCACGACGACGUGGUGGUGGAAGCAACGGUGAUCUCGGCAGGGCUUCGCCAAGCUCAGGGAGAGGGAGGAGUGUCACAAGAGGGAGAGGGAGGCGCCAGGUGUUGGGGAACGUUGCAGAAAACAAAAAAUUUCCUACUCGUUUCACCAAGAUCAUCUAGGAGUUCAUCUAGCAACGAGUGAUUAGAUGCAUCUACAUACCUUUGUAGAUCGCGCACGGAAGCGUUCAAAAGAAUGGUGAUGAUGUAGUCGUACUCGACGUGAUCCAAAUCACCGAUGACCAGCGCCGAACGGACGGCACCUCCGCGUUCAACACACGUACGGGACGGGAGACGUCUCCUCCUUCUUGAUCCAGCAAGGGGGAAGGAGAGGUUGAUGAAGAUCCAGCAGCACGACGGCGUGGUGGUGGAUGCAGGGCAUCACAGCAGCAGGGCUUCGCCGAGACUACGAGGGAGAGACGUAACGGGGGGAGAUGGAGGCGCCAGGGGCUGGUGUGUAAUCCCUCCUCUCCCCCCACUAUAUAUAGGGGUGCCAGGGGGGCGCCGGCCCUAGUAGAUGAGAUCUACUAGGGGGGGCGGCGGCCAAGGGGAGGUUUCCCUCCCCCCCAAGGCACCUAGGGGUGCCUUCCACCACAUGGACUCUUCCAUGGUGGAAACCCUAGGCGCAUGGGCCUAUAGGGGCUGGUGCCCUUGGCCCAUCUACGCCAAGGCGCACCCCCUACAGCCCAUGUGGCCCCCCAGGACAGGUGGCCCCACUCGGUGGACCCCCGGGACCCUUCCGGUGGUCCCGGUACAAUACCGAUAACCCCGAAACUUGUCCCGAUGCCCGAAAUAGCACUUCCUAUAUAUAAUUCUUUACCUCCGGACCAUUCUGGAACUCCUCGUGACGUCCGGGAUCUCAUCCGGGACUCCGAACAACAUUCGGGUUUCUGCAUAUACAUAUCUUCAUAACCCUAGCGUCACCGAACCUUAAGUGUGUAGACCCUACGGGUUCGGGAGACAAGCAGACAUGACCGAGACGACUCUCCGGUCAAUAACCAACAGCGGGAUCUGGAUACCCAUGUUGGCUCCCACAUGCUCCACGAUGAUCUCAUCGGAUGAACCACGAUGUCGAGGAUUCAAUCAAUCCCGUACGCUAUUCCCUUUGUCUAUCGAUAUGUUACUUGCCCGAGAUUCGAUCGUCGGUAUCCCAAUACCUCGUUCAAUCUCGUUACCGGCAAGUCACUUUACUCAUACCGUAAUGCAUGAUCCCGUGACCAGACACUUGGUCACUCUGAGCUCAUUAUGAUGAUGCAUUACCGAGUGGGCCCAGUGAUACCUCUCCGUCAUACGGAGUGACAAAUCCCAGUCUUGAUCCAUGUCACCCAACAGACACUUUCGGAGAUACCCGUAGUCUACCUUUAUAGUCACCCAGUUAUGUUGUGACGUUUGGCAUACCCAAAGCACUCCUACGGUAUCCGGGAGUUACACGAUCUCAUGGUCUAAGGAAAAGAUACUUUGCCAUUGGAAAACUCUAGCAAACGAACUAUACGAUCUUGUGCUAUGUUUAGGAUUGGGUCUUGUCCAUCACAUCAUUCUCCCAAUGAUGUGAUCUCGUUAUCAAUGACAUCCAGUGUCCAUAGUCAGGAAACCAUGACUAUCUGUUGAUCAACGAGCUAGUCAGCUAGAGGCUCACUAGGGACAUGUUGGUGUCUGUUAUUCACACAUGUAUUACGAUUUCCGGAUAACACAAUUAUAGCAUGAAUAAAGACAAUUAUCAUGAACAAGGAAAUAUAAUAAUAAUGCUUUUAUUAUUGCCUCUAGGGCAUAUUUCCAACAGUCUCCCACUUGCACUAGAGUCAAUAAUCUAGUUACAUUGUGAUGAAUCGAACACCCAUGGAAUUCUGGUGUUGAUCAUGUUUUGCUCUAGGGAGAGGUUUAGUCAACGGAUCUGCUAUAUUCAGGUCCGUAUGUACUUUACAAAUCUCUAUGUCUCCAUCUUGAACAUUUUCACGAAUGGAGUUGAAGCGACGCUUGAUGUGCCUUGUCUUCUUGUGAAACCUGGGCUCCUUGGCAAGUGCAAUAGCUCCAGUGUUGUCACAGAAGAGCUUGAUCGGCCCCGACGCAUUGGGUAUGACUCCUAGGUCGAUGAUGAACUCCUUCACCCAUAUUGCUUCAUGUGCUGCCUCCGAGGCUGCCAUGUACUCCGCUUCACAUGUAGAUCCCGCCACGACGCUUUGCUUGCAACUGCACCAGCUUACUGCCCCACCAUUCAAAAUAUACACGUAUCCGGUUUGUGACUUAGAGUCAUCCAGAUCUGUGUCGAAGCUAGCGUCGACGUAACCCUUUACGACGAGCUCUUCGUCACCUCCAUAAACGAGAAACAUUUCGUUAGUCCUUUUCAGGUACUUCAGGAUAUUCUUGACCGCUGUCCAGUGUUCCUUGCCGGGAUUACUUUGGUACCUUCCUACCAAACUGACGGCAAGGUUAACAUCAGGUCUGGUACACAACAUGGCAUACAUAAUAGAACCUAUGGCUGAGGCAUAGGGGAUGACGCUCAUCUCUUCUAUAUCUUCUGCCGUGGUCGGACAUUGAGCUGAGCUCAAUUUCAUACCUUGUAACACAGGCAAGAACCCCUUCUUGGAUUGAUCCAUAUUGAACUUCUUCAAUAUCUUAUCAAGGUAUGUGCUUUGUGAAAGACCUAUGAGGCGUCUCGAUCUAUCUCUAUAGAUUUUGAUGCCUAAUAUAUAAGCAGCUUCUCCAAGGUCCUUCAUUGAAAAACUUUUAUUCAAGUAGGCCUUGAUGCUGUCCAAGAGUUCCAUAUCAUUUCCCAUCAAAAGUAUGUCAUCUACAUAUAAUAUGAGAAAUGCUACAGAGCUCCCACUCACUUUCUUGUAAACGCAGGCUUCUCCAUAAGUCUGUGUAAACCCAAACGCUUUGAUCAUCUCAUCAAAGCGAAUGUUCCAACUCCGAGAUGCUUGCACCAGCCCAUAAAUCGAGCGUUUGAGCUUGCACACUUUGUCAGCAUUCUCAGGAUCGACAAAACCUUCCGGCUGCAUCAUAUACAAUUCUUCCUUAAGGAAACCAUUAAGGAAUGCCGUUUUGACGUCCAUUUGCCAUAUUUCGUAAUCAUAGAAUGCGGCAAUUGCUAACAUGAUUCGGACGGACUUCAGCUUCGCUACCGGUGAGAAAGUCUCAUUGUAGUCAACCCCUUGAACUUGUCGAUAACCCUUAGCGACAAGCCGAGCUUUAUAGAUGGUCACAUUACCAUCCGCGUCUGUCUUCCUCUUAAAGAUCCAUUUAUUUUCUAUGGCUCACCGCUCAACGGGCAAGUCAAUCAAAGUCCAUACUUUGUUUUCAUACAUGGAUCCUAUCUCGGAUUUCAUGGCUUCUAGCCAUUUGUCGGAAUCCGGGCCCGCCAUCGCUUCUUCAUAGUUCGAAGGUUCACCGUUGUCUAACAGCAUGAUUUCCAAGACAGGGUUGCCGUACCACUCUGGUGCGGAACGUGUCCUUGUGGACCUUCGAAUUUCAGUAGGGGCUUGAUCAGAAGUAUCUUGAUCAUUGUCAUUAACUUCCUCUCUAGUCGGUGCAGGCACCUCAGGAACAUUUUCUUGAGUUGCGCCAUUUUCCGGUUCAAGAGGUAAUACUUCAUCAAGCUCUACUUUCCUCCCACUUACUUCUUUCGAGAGAAACUCUUUCUCCAGAAAGGACCCAUUCUUGGCAACAAAGAUCUUGCCUUCGGAUCUGAGGUAGAAGGUGUACCCAAUAGUUUCUUUGGGUAUCCUAUGAAGACGCAUUUUUCCGACUUGGGUUCGAGCUUUUCAGGUUGAAGUUUCUUGACAUAAGCAUCGCAUCCCCAAACUUUUAGAAACGACAGCUUAGGUUUCUUCCCAAACCAUAAUUCAUACGGUGUCGUCUCAACGGAUUUCGACGGAGCCCUAUUUAAAGUGAAUGCGACAGUCUCUAAAGCAUAGCCCCAAAAGGAUAGCGGUAAAUCGGUAAGAGACAUCAUAGAUCGCACCAUAUCUAAUAGAGUGCGAUUACGACGUUCGGACACACCAUUACGCUGAGGUGUUCUAGGCGGCGUGAGUUGUGAAACUAUUCCACAUUUUCUUAAGUGUGUGCCAAACUCGUGACUCAAGUAUUCUCCUCCACGAUCUGAUCGUAGAAACUUGAUUUUCCUGUCACGUUGAUUUUCAACCUCACUCUGAAAUUCCUUGAACUUUUCAAAGGUUUCAGACUUGUGUUUCAUUAAGUAGAUAUACCCAUACCUACUUAAAUCAUCAGUGAGGGUGAGAACAUAACGAUAGCCACCGCGAGCCUCAACACUCAUUGGACCGCACACAUCAGUAUGUAUGAUUUCCAAUAAGUCGGUUGCUCGCUCCAUUGUUCCUGAGAACGGAGUCUUGGUCAUUUUACCCAUAAGGCAUGGUUCGCAUGUGUCAAAUGAUUCAUAAUCAAGAGACUCUAAAAGUCCAUCAGUAUGGAGCUUCUUCAUGCGUUUGACACCUAUGUGACCAAGGCGGCAGUGCCACAGGUAUGUGGGACUAUCAUUAUCAACCUUACUUCUUUUGGUACUCACAUUAUGAACAUGUGUAGCAUCACGUUCGAGAUUCAUAAAGAAUAAACCAUUCACCAUAGGAGCAUGACCAUAAAACAUAUCUCUCAUAAAAAUGGAACAACCAUUAUUCUCAGAUUUAAAUGAGUAGCCAUCUCGAAUUAAACGAGAUCCCGAUACAAUGUUCAUGCUCAAAGCUGGCACUAAAUAACAAUUAUUAAGGUUUAAAACUAAUCCCGAAGGGAGAUGCAGAGGUAGCGUGCCGACGGCGACCACAUUGACCUUGGAACCAUUCCCGACGCGCAUCGUCACCUCGUCCUUUGCCAGUUUCCGCUUAUUCUGCAGCCCCUGCUUUGAGUUACAAAUGUGAGCAACUGCACCGGUAUCAAAUACCCAGGAGCUACUACGGGCACUAGUAAGGUACACAUCAAUUACAUGUAUAUCACAUAUACCUUUUGUUUUGUCGGCCUUCUUAUCCGCUAAGUACUUAGGGCAGUUCCGCUUCCAGUGACCGCUUCCCUUGCAAUAAAAGCACUCAGUCUCGGGCUUGGGUCCAUUCUUUGGCUUCUUCCCGGUAGCUUGCUUGCCGGGCGCGGCAACCUCCUUGCCGUCCUUCUUGAAGUUCUUUUUACCCUUGCCUUUCUUGAACUUAGUGGUUUUAUUGACCAUCAACACUUGAUGUUCCUUCCUGACUUCUACCUCUGCUGAUUUCAGCAUAGCAAAUACUUCAGGAAUGGUCUUUUCCAUCCCCUGCAUAUUGAAGUUCAUCACAAAGCUCUUGUAGCUUGGUGGAAGCGACUGGAGGAUUCUGUCAAUGACCGCAUCAUCCGGGAGAUUAACUCCCAGCUGAGUCAAGCGGUUAUGCAACCCAGACAUAGUGAGUAUGUGCUCACUGACAGAACUGUUUUCCUCCAUCUUACAGCUGAAGAAUUUGUCGGAGACUUCAUAUCUCUCGACCCGGGCAUGAGCUUGGAAAACCAUUUUCAGCUCUUCGAACAUCUCAUAUGCUCCAUGUCUCUCAAAACGCUUUUGGAGCCCCGGCUCUAGGCUGUAAAGCAUGCCGCACUGAACGAGGGAGUAGUCAUCGGAACGUGCCUGCCAAGCGUUCAUAACAUCUUGUUCUGCAGGGAGAAUGGGUGCGUCACCAAGCGGUGCUUGUAGGACAUAAUCUUUCUUGGCAGCUAUGAGGAUGAUCCUCAUGUUCCGGACCCAGUCCGUAUAGUUGCUGCCAUCGUCUUUCAGCUUGGUUUUCUCUAGGAACGCGUUGAAGUUGAGGACUACGUUGGCCAUUUAAUCUACAAGACAUAUUGUAAAAUAUUUAGACUAAGUUCAUGAUAAUUAAGUUCAACUAAUCAAAUUAUUAAUGAACUCCCACUUAGAUUAGACAUCCCUCCAGUCAUCUAAGUAUUACAUGAUCCGAGUUUAACUAGACCGUGUCCGAUCAUCACGUGAGACGGACUAGUCAACGUCGGUGAACAUCUUCAUGUUGAUCGUAUCUUCUAUACGACUCAUGCUCGACCUUUCGGUCUUCUGUGUUCCGAGGCCAUGUCUGUACAUGCUAGGCUCGUCAAGUUAACCUAAGUGUUUGCAUGUGUAAAUCUGUCUUACACCCAUUGUAUGUGAACGUCUGAAUAAAACACCCGAUCAUCAUGUGGUGUUUUGAAACAGCGAACUGUCGCAACGGUGCACAGUUAGGGGGAACACUUCUUGAAUUUAUUGUGAGGGAUCAUCUUAUUUACUACCGUCGUUCUAAGUAAACAAGAUGCAAAACAUGAUAAACAUCACAUGCAAUCAAAUAAUAAACGUGACAUGAUAUGGCCAAUAUCACAUAGCUCCUUUGAUCUCCAUCUUGGGGCUCCAUGAUCAUCUUGUCACCGGCUUGACACCAUGAUCUCCAUCAUCAUGAUCUCCAUCAUCGUGUCUCCAUGAAGUUGCUCGCCAACUAUUACUUCUACUACUAUGGCUAACGCGUUUAGCAAUAAAGUAAAGUAAUUUACAUGGCGUUUCUCGAUGACACGCAGGUCAUAAAAAGAAUAAAGACAACUCCUAUGGCUCCUGCCGGUUGUCAUACUCAUCGACAUGCAAGUCGUGAAUCCUAUUACAAUAGCAUGAACAUCUCAUACAUCACAUAUAGAUCAUUCAUCAUUCAUCACAACUUUGGCCAUAUCAUAUCACAAACCACUUGCUGCAAAAACAAGUUAGACGUCCUCUAAUAGUUGUUGCAAGUUUUACGUGGCUGAAUUAGGGUUCUAGCAAGAACGUUUUCUUACCUACGUUAAAGCCACAACGUGAUUUGUCAACUUCUAUUUACCCUUCAUAAGGACCCUGUUCAUCGAUUCCGCUCCAACUAAAGUGAGAGAGACAGACACCCGCCAGCCACCUUAUGCAACUAGUGCAUGUUAGUCGGUGGAACCGGUCUCACGUAAGCGUACGUGUAAGGUUGGUCCGGGCCGCUUCAUCCCACAAUACCGCUGAAGCAAGAAAGGACUAGUAACGGCAAGAAAGUUGACAAAUCUACGCCCACAACAAAUUGUGUUCUACUCGCGCAAGAAGAACUACGCAUAGACCUAGCUCAUGAUGCCACUGUUGGGGAACGUUGCAGAAAACAAAAAUUUUCCUACUCGUUUCACCAAGAUCAUCUAGGAGUUCAUCUAGCAACGAGUGAUUAGAUGCAUCUACAUACCUUUGUAGAUCGCGCACGGAAGCGUUCAAAAGAAUGGUGAUGAUGUAGUCGUACUCGACGUGAUCCAAAUCACCGAUGACCAGCGCCGAACGGACGGCACCUCCGCGUUCAACACACGUACGGGACGGGAGACGUCUCCUCCUUAUUGAUCCAGCAAGGGGGAAGGAGAGGUUGAUGAAGAUCCAGCAGCACGACAACGUGGUGGUGGAUGCAGGGCGUCACAGCAGCAGGGCUUCGCCGAGACUACGAGGGAGAGACGUAACGGGGGGAGAUGGAGGCGCCAGGGGCUGGUGUGUAAUCCCUCCUCUCCCCCCACUAUAUAUAGGGGUGCCAGGGGGGCGCCGGCCCUAGUAGAUGAGAUCUACUAGGGGGGGCGGCGGCCAAGGGGAGGUUUCCCUCCCCCCCAAGGCACCUAGGGGUGCCUUCCACCACAUGGACUCUUCCAUGGUGGAAACCCUAGGCGCAUGGGCCUAUAGGGGCUGGUGCCCUUGGCCCAUCUAGGCCAAGGCGCACCCCCUACAGCCCAUGUGGCCCCCCGGGACAGGUGGCCCCACCCGGUGGACCCCCGGGACCCUUCCGGUGGUCCCGGUACAAUACCGAUAACCCCGAAACUUGUCCCGAUGCCCGAAAUAGCACUUCCUAUAUAUAAUUCUUUACCUCCGGACCAUUCCGGAACUCCUCGUGACGUCCGGGAUCUCAUUCGGGACUCCGAACAACAUUCGGGUUUUUGCAUAUACAUAUCUUCAUAACCCUAGCGUCACCGAACCUUAAGUGUGUAGACCCUACGGGUUCGGGAGACAAGCAGACAUGACCGAGACGACUCUCCGGUCAAUAACCAACAGCGGGAUCUGGAUACCCAUGUUGGCUCCCACAUGCUCCACGAUGAUCUCAUCGGAUGAACCACGAUGUCGAGGAUUCAAUCAAUCCCGUACGCUAUUCCCUUUGUCUAUCGAUAUGUUACUUGCCCGAGAUUCGAUCGUCGGUAUCCCAAUACCUCGUUCAAUCUCGUUACCGGCAAGUCACUUUACUCGUACCGUAAUGCAUGAUCCCGUGACCAGACACUUGGUCACUCUGAGCUCAUUAUGAUGAUGCAUUACCGAGUGGGCCCAGUGAUACCUCUCCGUCAUACGGAGUGACAAAUCCCAGUCUUGAUCCAUGUCACCCAACAUACACUUUCGGAGAUACCCGUAGUCUACCUUUAUAGUCACCCAGUUACGUUGUGACGUUUGGCAUACCCAAAGCACUCCUACGGUAUCCGGGAGUUACACGAUCUCAUGGUCUAAGGAAAAGAUACUUUGACAUUGGAAAACUCUAGCAAACGAACUAUACGAUCUUGUGCUAUGUUUAGGAUUGGGUCUUGUCCAUCACAUCAUUCUCCCAAUGAUGUGAUCUCGUUAUCAAUGACAUCCAGUGUCCAUAGUCAGGAAACCAUGACUAUCUGUUGAUCAACGAGCUAGUCAACUAGAGGCUCACUAGGGACAUGUUGGUGUCUGUUAUUCACACAUGUAUUACGAUUUCCGGAUAACACAAUUAUAGCAUGAAUAAAGACAAUUAUCAUGAACAAGGAAAUAUAAUAAUAAUGCUUUUAUUAUUGCCUCUAGGGCAUAUUUCCAACACCAGGGGCUAGGGUGCGGCUGCCCUCCCUCCCCCCCACUAUAUAUAGGACCCCUAGGGGGGCGCCGGCCCUAGGAGAUUGAAUCUCCAAGGGGGGGCGGCAGCCAAGGGGGGUGGAGUGCCCCCCAAGCCAAGUGGGGCGCCCCCCACCCCUAGGGUUUCCAACCCUAGGCGCAGGGGGAGGCCCAUGGGGGGGCGCACAAGCCCACUAGGGGCUGGUUCCCCUCCCACUUUAGCCCAUGCGGCCCUCCGGGAUAGGUGGCCCCACCUGGUGGACCCCCGGGACCCUUCCGGUGGUCCCGGUACAAUACCGAUUACCCCCGAAACCUUCCCGAUGGCCGAACCUUGACUUCCUAUAUAUAAAUCUUCACCUCUGGACCAUUCCGGAACUCCUCGUGAUGUCCGGGAUCUCAUCCGGGACUUCGAACAACUUUCGGGUUACCAUAUACUAAUAUCUCAACAACCCUAGCGUCACCGAACCUUAAGUGUGUAGACCCUACGGGUUCGGGAGACACACAGACAUGACCGAGACGACUCUCCGGUCAAUAACCAACAGCGGGAUCUGGAUACCCAUGUUGGCUCCCACAUGCUCCUCGAUGAUCUCAUCGGAUGAACCACGAUGUCGAGGAUUCAAUCAAUCCCGUAUACAAUUCCCUUUCUCAAUCGGUACGUUACUUGCCCGAGACUCGAUCGUGGGUAUCCCAAUACCUCGUUCAAUCUCGUUACCGGCAAGUCACUUUACUCGUACCGUAAUGCAUGAUCCCGUGAUCAACCACUUGGUCACAUUGAGCUCAUUAUGAUGAUGCAUUACCGAGUGGGCCCAGAGAUACCUCUCCGUCAUACGGAGUGACAAAUCCCAGUCUCGAUUCGUGCCAACCCAACAGACACUUUCGGAGAUACAUGUAGUGUACCUUUAUAGUCACCCAGUUACGUUGUGAUGUUUGGCACACCCAAAGCACUCCUACGGCAUCCGGGAGUUUCACAAUCUCAUGGUCUAAGGAAAUGAUACUUGACAUUCGGAAAAGCUAUAGCAAACGAACAACACAAUCUUUGAGCUAUGCUUAGGAUUGGGUCUUGUCCAUCACAUCAUUCUCCUAAUGAUGUGAUCCCGUUAUCAAUGACAUCCAAUGUCCAUAGUCAGGAAACCAUGACUAUCUUUUGAUCAACGAGCUAGUCAACUAGAGGGUCACUAGGGACGUGUUGUGGUCUAUGUAUUCACACAUGUAUUACGAUUUCCGGAUAACACAAUUAUAUCAUGAACAAUAGACAAUUAUCAUGAACAAAGAAAUAUAAUAGUAACCAUUUUAUUAUUGCCUCUAGGGCAUAUUUCCAACAGUCUCCCACUUGCACUAGAGUCAAUAGUCUAGUUACAUUGUGAUGAAUCGAACACCCAUGCAGUUCUGGUGUUGAUCAUGUUUUGCUCUAGGGAGAGGUUUAGUCAACGGAUCUGCCACAUUCAGGUCCGUAUGUACUUUACAAAUAUCUAUGUCUCCAUUUUGAACACUUUCACGAAUGGAGUUGAAGCGACGCUUGAUAUGCCUGGUCUUCCUGUGAAACCUGGGCUCCUUGGGAAGGGCAAUAGCUCCAGUGUUGUCACAGAAGAGAGUCAUCGGGCCCGACGCAUUGGGUAUGACUCCUAGGUCGGUAAUGAACUCCUUCACCCAGAUUGCUUCUUGUGCUGCCUCCGAGGCUGCCAUGUACUCCGCUUCACAUGUAGAUCCCGCCACAACGCUUUGCUUGCAACUGCACCAGCUUACUGCCCCACCAUUCAAAAUAUACACGUAUCCGGUUUGUGACUUAGAGUCAUCCAGAUCUGUGUCGAAGCUAGCAACGACGUAACCCUUUACGACGAGCUCUUCGUCACCUCCAUAAAUGAGAAACAUUUCCUUAGUCCUCUUCAGGUACUUCAGGAUAUUCUUGACCGCUGUCCAGUGUUCCAUGCCGGGAUUACUUUGGUACCUUCCUACCAAACUUACGGCAAGGUUUACAUCAGGUCUGGUACACAGCAUAGCAUACAUGAUAGACCCUAUGGUCGAGGCAUAGGGGACGACACUCAUCUUUUCUCUAUCUUCUGCCGUGGUCGGGCAUUGAGCCGUGCUCAAUCUCGUACCUUGCAAUACAGGCAAGAACCCCUUUUUUGACUGAUCCAUUUUGAACUUCUUCAAUAUCUUGUCAAGGUACGUACUCUGUGAAAGACCAAUGAGGCGUCUCGAUCUAUCUCUAUAGAUAUUGAUGCCUAAUAUAUAAGCAGCUUCUCCAAGAUCCUUCAUUGAAAAACACUUGUUCAAGUAGGCCUUUAUGCUUUCCAAGAAUUCUAUAUCAUUUCCCAUCAACAGUAUGUCAUCCACAUACAAUAUGAGAAAUGCUACAGAGCUCCCACUCACUUUCUUGUAAAUGCAGGCUUCUCCAUAAGUCCGCGUAAACCCAAACGCUUUGAUCAUCUCAUCAAAACGAAUGUUCCAACUCCGAGAUGCUUGCACCAGCCCAUAAAUCGAGCAUUGGAGCUUGCACACCUUGUCAGCAUUCUUAGGAUCGACAAAACCUUCCGGCUGCAUCAUAUACAAUUCUUCCUUAAGGAAACCAUUAAGGAAUGCCGUUUUGACAUCCAUUUGCCAUAUCUCAUAAUCAUAGAAUGCGGCAAUUGCUAACAUGAUUCGGACGAACUUCAGCUUCGCUACGGGUGAGAAAGUCUCAUCGUAGUCAACCCCUUGAACUUGUCGAUAACCCUUAGCGACAAGCUGAGCUUUAUAGAUGGUUACAUUACCAUCCGCGUCUGUCUUCUUCUUAAAGAUCCAUUUAUUUUCUAUGGCUCGCCGAUCAUCGAGCAAGUCAGUCAAAGUCCAUACUUUGUUUUCAUACAUGGAUCCUAUCUCGGAUUUCAUGGCUUCCAGCCAUUUGUCGGAAUCUGGGCCCGCCAUUGCUUCUUCAUAGUUCGAAGGUUCACCGUUGUCUAACAACAUGAUUUCCAGGACAGGGUUGCCGUACCACUCUGGUGCGGGACGUGUCCUUGUGGACCUACGAAGUUCAGUAGCAACUUGAUCUGAAGUUUCAUGAUCAUCAUCAUUAACUUCCUCUCUAGUCGGUGCAGGCACCUCAGGAACAAUUUCUUGAGCUGCGCCACUUACCGGUUCAAGAAGUAAUACUUCAUCGAGUUCUACUUUCCUCCCACUUAUUUCUUUCGAGAGAAACUCUUUCUCUAGAAAGGAUCCAUUCUUGGCAACAAAGAUCUUGCCUUCGGAUCUGAGGUAGAAGGUAUACCCAAUAGUUUCUUUAGGGUACCCUAUGAAGACGCAUUUUUCCGACUUGGGUUCGAGCUUUUCAGGUUGAAGUUUCUUGACAUAAGCAUCGCAUCCCCAAACUUUUAGAAAUGACAGCUUAGGUUUCUUCCCAAACCAUAGUUCAUACGGUGUCGUCUCAACGGAUUUCGAUGGAGCCCUAUUUAAAGUGAAUGCGGCAGUCUCUAAAGCAAAGCCCCAAAAUGACAGCGGUAAAUCGGUAAGAGACAUCAUAGAUCGCACCAUAUCCAAUAGAGUGCGAUUACGACGUUCGGACACACCAUUACGCUGAGGUGUUCCAGGCGGCGUGAGUUGUGAAACUAUUCCACAUUUCCUUAAGUGUGUGCCAGUUUCAUGACUCAAGUAUUCUCCCCACGAUCUGAUCGCAAGAACUUGAUUUUUCUGUCAUGUUGAUUCUCAACCUCACUCUGAAAUUCCUUGAACUUUUCAAAGGUCUAAGACUUGUGUUUCAUUAAGUAUACAUACCCAUAUCUACUCAUGUCAUCAGUGAGGGUGAGAACAUAACGAUAGCCACCGCGAGCCUCAACACUCAUUGGACUGCACACAUCAGUAUGUAUGAUUUCCAAUAAGUUGGUUGCUCGCUCCAUUGUUCCUGAGAACGGAGUCUUGGUCAUUUUACCCAUGAGGCAUGGUUCGCACGUGUCAAAUGAUUUGUAAUCAAGAGACUCCAAAAGUCCAUCUGCAUGGAGCUUCUUCAUGCGUUUGACACCUAUGUGACCAAGGCGGCAGUGCCACAAGUAUGUGGGACUAUCAUUAUCAACCUUACAUCUUUUGGUAUUCACGCUAUGAAUUUGUGUAACAUUACGCUCGAGAUUCAUUAAGAAUAAACCAUUCACCAGCGGAGCAUGACCAUAAAACAUAUCUCUCAUAUAAAUAGAACAACCAUUAUUCUCGGAUUUAAAUGAGUAGCCAUCUCGAAUUAAACGAGAUCCUGAUACAAUGUUCAUGCUCAAAGCUGGCACUAAAUAACAAUUAUUGAGGUUUAAAACUAAUCCCGUAGGUAAAUGUAGAGGCAGCGUGCCGACGGCGAUCACAUCGACCUUGGAACCAUUCCUGACGCGCAUCGUCACCUCGUCCUUCGCCAGUUUCCGCUUAUUCCGCAGCUCCUGCUUUGAGUUACAAAUGUGAGCAACCGCACCGGUAUCAAAUACCCAGGAGCUACUACGAGUACUGGUAAGGUACACAUCAAUUACAUGUAUAUCACAUAUACCUUUAGUGUUGCCGGCCUUCUUGCCCGCUAAGUAUUUGGGGCCGUUCCGCUUCCAGUGACCACCUCCCUUGCAAUAAAAACACUCAGUCUCAGGCUUGGGUCCAUUCUUUGACUUCUUCCCGGCAGCUUGCUUAUCGGGCGCAGCAACUCCCUUGCCAUCCUUCUUGAAGUUCUUCUUACCCUUGCCUUUCUUGAACUUAGUGGUUUUAUUCACCAUCAACACUUGAUGUUUCUUUUUGAUUUCCACCUCUGCUGAUUUCAGCAUUGAAUAUACCUCAAGAAUGGUCUUUUCCAUCCCCUGCAUAUUGAAGUUCAUCACAAAGCUCUUGUAGCUCGGUGGAAGCGACUGAAGGAUUCUGUCAAUGACCGCGUCAUCUGGGAGAUUAACUCCCAGCUGAGUCAAGCGGUUAUGCAACCCAGACAUUUUGAGUAUGUGCUCACUGACAGAACUAUUUUCCUCCAUCUUACAACUGAAGAACUUGUCGGAGACUUCAUAUCUCUCGACCCGGGCAUGAGCUUGGAAAACCAUUUUCAGCUCUUCGAACAUCUCAUAUGCUCCGUGUCGCUCAAAACGCUUUUGGAGCCCCGGUUCUAAGCUGUAAAGCAUGCCGCACUAAACGAGGGAGUAAUCAUCAGCACGUGACUGCCAAGCGUUCAUAACAUCUUGGUUCUCUGGGAUGGGUGCGUCACCUAGCGGUGCUUCUAGGACAUAAUAUUUCUUGGCAGCUAUGAGGAUGAUCCUCAGGUUCCGUACCCAGUCCGUAUAAUUGCUGCCAUCAUCUUUCAGCUUGGUUUUCUCUAGGAACGCGUUGAAGUUGAGGGCAACAUUAGCGUGGGCCAUUUGAUCUACAAGACAUAGUGUAAAGAUUUUAGACUAAGUUCAUGAUAAUUAAGUUCAUCUAAUCAAAUUAUUCAAUGAACUCCCACUCAGAUAGACAUCCCUCUAGUCAUCUAAGUGAAACAUGAUCCGAGUUAACUAGGCCCUGUCCGAUCAUCACGUGAGACGGACUAGUCAACAUCGGUGAACAUCUUCAUGUUGAUCGUAUAUUCUAUACAACUCAUGCUCGACCUUUCGGUCUUCCGUGUUCCGAGGCCAUGUCUGUACAUGCUAGGCUCGUCAAGUCAAUCUAAGUGUAUUGCGUGUGUAAAUUUGGCUUACACCCGUUGUAUUCGAAUGUUAGAAUCUAUCACACCCGAUCAUCACGUGGUGCUUCGAAACAACGAACCUUUGCAACGGUGCACAGUUAGGGGGAACACUUUCUUGAAAUUAUUAUGAGGGAUCAUCUUAUUUAAGCUACCGUCGUUCUAAGCAAAUAAGAUGUAAAACAUGAUAAACAUCACAUGCAAUCAAAUAGUGACAUGAUAUGGCCAAUAUUAUUUGCUCCUUUUGAUCUCCAUCUUCGGGGCUUCAUGAUCAUCGUUGUCACCGGCAUGACACCAUGAUCUCCAUCAUCGUGUCUUCUUGAAGUUGUCUCAUCAUCUAUUACUUCUACUACUAUGGCUAACGCUUUAGCAAUAAUGUAAAGUAAUUACAUGACGUUUAUGUUGACACGCAGGUCAUAAAUAAAUAAAGACAACUUCUAUGGCUCCUGCCGGUUGUCAUACUCAUCGACAUGCAAGUCGUGAUUCCUAUUACAAGAACAUGAUCAAUCUCAUACAUCACAUAUAUCAUUCAUCACAUCCUUUUGGCCAUAUCACAUCACACGACACAUGCUGCAAAAACAAGUUAGACGUCCUCUAAUUGUUGUUGCAAGUUUUUACGUGGCUGCUAUAGGUUUCUAGCAAGAACGUUUCUUACCUACGCCAAAACCACAACGUGAUAUGCCAAUUUCUAUUUACCCUUCAUAAGGACCCUUUUCAUCGAAUCCGAUCCGACUAAAGUGGGAGAGACAGACACCCGCCAACCACCUUAUGCAACUAGUGCAUGUCAAUCGGUGGAACCAGUCUCACGUAAGCGUACGUGUAAGGUCGGUCCGAGCCGCUUCAUCCCAUGAUGCCGCCGAAUCAAGAUAAGACUAGUAACGGCAAGCAAAUUGACAAUAUCCACGCCCACAACUGCUUUGUGUUCUACUCGUGCAUAGAAACUACACAUAGACCUAGAUCAUGAUGCCACUGUUGGGGAACAUAGCAGAAUUUUAAAAUUUUCUACGCAUCACCAAGAUCAAUCUAUGGAUUCAUCUAGCAACGAGGGAGAGAGGAGUGCAUCUACAUACCCUUGUAGAUCGCGCGCAGAAGCGUUCAAGAAAACAGGGUUGAUGGAGUCGUACUCGUCGUGAUCCAAAUCACCGAUGACCUAGCGCCGAACGGACGGCACCUCCGCGUUCAACACACGUACGGUUGGGAAGACGUCUCCUCCAAAUUUAUCCAGCAAGGGGGAAGGAGAGGUUGAUGAAGAUCCAGCAGCACGACGGCGUGGUGGUGGAAGCAACGGUGAUCUCGGCAGGGCUUCGCCAAGCUCAGGGAGAGGGAGGAGUGUCACGGGAGGGAGAGGGAGGCGCCAGGGGCUAGGGUGCGGCUGCCCUCCCUCCCCCCACUAUAUAUAGGACCACUAGGGGGGCGCCGGCCCUAGGAGAUUGAAUCUCCAAGGGGGGGGGGGCGGCCAAGGGGGGUGGAGUGCCCCCCAAGCCAAGUGGAGCGCCCCCACCCCUAGGGUUUCCAACCCUAGGCGCAGGGGGAGGCCCAUGGGGGGGGGGCGCACCAGCCUACUAGGGGCUGGUUCCCCUCCCACUUUAGCCCAUGGCCCCCUCCGGGAUAGGUGGCCCCACCCGGUGGACCCCCGAGACCCUUCCGGUGGUCCCGGUACAAUACCGAUUACCCCCGAAACCUUCCCGAUGGCCGAAAAUUGACUUCCUAUAUAUAAAUCUUCACCUCCGGACCAUUCUGGAACUCCUCGUGACGUCCGGGAUCUCAUCUGGGACUCCGAACAACUUUCGGGUUACCGUAUACUAAUAUCUCAACAACCCUAGCAUCACGGAACCUUAAGUGUGUAGACCCUACGGGUUCGGGAGACACGCAGACAUGACCGAGACGACUCUCCGGUCAAUAACCAACAACGGGAUCUGGAUACCCAUGUUGGCUCCCACAUGCUCCUCGAUGAUCUAAUCGGAUGAACCACGAUGUCGAGGAUUCAAUCAAUCCCGUAUACAAUUCCCUUUGUCAAUCGGUAUGUUACUUGCCCAAGACUCGAUCGUCGGUAUCCCAAUACCUCGUUCAAUCUCGUUACCGGCAAGUCACUUUACUCGUACCGUAAUGCAUGAUCCCGUGAUCAACCACUUGGUCACAUUGAGCUCAUUAUGAUGAUGCAUUACCGAGUGGGCCCAGAGAUACCUCUCCGUCAUACAAAGUGACAAAUCCCAGUCUCGAUUCGUGCCAACCCAACAGACACUUUCGGAGAUACAUGUAGUGUACCUUUAUAGUCACCCAGUUACGUUGUGAUGUUUGGCACACCCAAAGCACUCCUACGGUAUCCGGGAGUUGCACAAUCUCAUGGUCUAAGGAAAUGAUACUUGACAUCCGGAAAAGCUAUAGCAAACGAACUACACGAUCUUUGAGCUAUGCUUACGAUUGGGUCUUGUCCAUCACAUCAUUCUCCUAAUGAUGUGAUCCCGUUAUCAAUGACAUCCAAUGUCCAUAGUCAGGAAACCAUGACUAUCUUUUGAUCAACGAGCUAGUCAACUAGAGGGUCACUAGGGACGUGUUGUGGUCUAUGUAUUCACACAUGUAUUACGAUUUCCGGAUAACACAAUUAUAGCGUGAACAAUAGACAAUUAUCAUGAACAAAGAAAUAUAAUAAUAACCAUUUUAUUAUUGCCUCUAGGGCAUAUUUCCAACAGUACCGGGAUAUGCAAUGAAUCAAGAGUGACAUGUAUGAAAGAAUUAUGAACGGUGGCUUUUCCCCGAAUACUAUGUCAGCUACAUGAUCAUGCUAAGCAAUAUGACAAUGAUGAAUGUGUCAUGAAGAACGGUACGGUGGAAAGAUGCAUGGCAAUAUAUUUCGGAAUGGCUAUGGAAAUGCCAUAAUAGGUAGGCAUGGUGGCUGUUUUGAGGAAGGUAUAUGGUGAGUUUAUGGUACCGGCGAAAGUUGCGCGGUAUUAGAGAGGCUAGCAAAGGUGGAAGGGUGAGAGUGCGUAUAAUCCAUGGACUCAACAUUAGUCAUAAAGAACUCACAUACUUAUUGCAAAAAUCUAUUAGUUAUCAAAACAAAGUACUAUGCGCAUGCUCCUAGGGGGAUAGAUUGGUAGGAAAAGACCAUCGCUCGUCCCCGACCGCCACUCAUAAGGAAGACAAUCAAUAAAUAAAUCAUGCUCCGAUUUCGUUACAUAACGGUUCACAAUACGUGCAUGCUACGGGAAUCACAAACUUCAACACAAGUAUUUCUCAAAUUAAUAACCAAUCAACUAGCAUGACUCUAAUAUCACCAUCUCCAUAUCUCAAAACAAUUACCAAGUAUCAAACUUCUCAUAGUAUUCAAUACACUCGUAAGAGAAUUUUAUUAUUCUUGAAUACCUAGCAUAUUAGGAUUUUAAGCAAAUUACCAUGCUAUUUAAGACUCUCAAAAUAAUAUAAGUGAAGCAUGAGAGUUCAUCUAUUUAUUCAAAAUAAAACUACCACCAUGCUCUAAAAGAUAUAAGUGAAGCACUAGAGCAAAUGACAAACUACUCCGAAAGAUAUAAGUGAAGAUCAAUGAGUAGUCGAAUAAUUAUGCAACUAUGUGAAGACUCUAUAACAUUCAAUAAUUUCAUAUCUUGGUAUUCUAUUCAAACAGCAAGCAAAGCAAAAUAAAAUGACAUUCUAAGAAUAGCAAACAUCAUGUGAAGAAGCAAAAACUUAGGAUCAACCGGUACUAACCGAUAAUUGUUGAAGAAGAAAGGUGGGAUGCCAACCGGGGCAUCCCCAAGCUUAGACGCUUGAGACUUCUUGAAAUAUUAUCUUGGGGUGCCUUGGGCAUCCCCAAGCUUGAGCUUUUGUGUCUCCUUAAUUCCUCUCAUAUCACGGUCUCCCUAAAUCUCAAAAGCUUCAUCCACACAAAACUCAACAAGGACUCGUGAGAUAAGUUAGUAUAAACUAUUGCAAAAACCUUAUCAUACUAUACUGUAGCAAAUCACUAAAAUUACUAUUCAAUAUUGCAUACUAAAUGUCUCUGCAUAUUUAAUAGUCUUAUCCUCAAAUAGAAUCAUUAAAGAAGCAAACAUAUGCAAACAAUGCAAACAUAACAGCAAUCUGCCUAAACAUGAUAGUCUGUAAAGAAUGCUGCAACAUCCAUACUUCCCUAACUCCAAAAAUUAUGAAAGAAAAUUACCACUAUAUUAAAUUUAUCAGAUCUUAAUAUGCAAAAGAUUUCAACAUUUUAUCACAUUCUGACUUUUUUGGGGAAUUAUUGCAACAGCGGUAAACUUUCUGUUUUUAAACAGCAACAUGUGGACUUCUAAAAUAGGCAUAGUAAAGGCUAUCAAUGCCACUUUUAUUGAAAUAAAAUAUGCAAAACAUUGUUAUAAAUAACAGAAAGAAAAUUCUAAUAAAAUAAAUUGACGCUCCAAGCAAAACACAUAUCAUGUGGCGAAUAAAAAUAUAGCUCCAAGUAAAGUUACCGAUGAACGAAGACGAAAGAGGGGACGCCUUCCGGGGCAUCCCCAAGCUUAGGCUCUUGUCUAUCCUUGAAUAUUACCUUGGGGUGCCUUGGGAAUCACCAAGCUUAGGAUAUUGCCACUCCUUAUUCCAUAGUCCAUCGAAUCCUUACCCAAAACUUGAAAACUUCACAACACAAAACUUAACAGAAAACUCGUAAGCUCCGUUAGUAUAAGAAAGUAAAUCACCACUUCAAGGUACUUUAAUGAAUUCAUUCUUUAUUUAUAUUGGUGUUAAACCUACUGUAUUACAACUUCUCUAUGGUUUAUAAACUCUUUUACGAUCCAUAGAUUCAUAAAAAUAAGUAAACAACACAUGAAAAACAGAAUCUGUCAAAAACAGAACAGUCUGUAGUAAUCUGGAUCAAACGCAUACUUCUGGAACUUAUAAAAUUCUCAAAUAAAUUGCUGGAACUGAGUAAUUUAUCUAUUAAUCAUAUGAAAAAAUAAUUAACUAAAUAUCACUCUCCAAAUAAAAAUGGCAGCAAUUCUUGUGAGCGCUAAAAUUUCUGUUUUUGACAGCAUGAUCAACAAGACUUUCCCCAAGUCUUCUCAAAGGUUCUACUUGGCACAAACACUAAUAAAAAGCAUAAAGCCACAUAUAAACAGAGUCUAGAUGAAUUAUUUAUUACUAAACAGGAACAAAAAGCAAGAAACAAAAAUAAAGUUGGGUUUCCUCCCAACAAGCGCUAUCGUUUAACGCCCCUAGCUAGGCAUGAUGAUUUCAAUGUGUUGGGGAACGUUGCAGAAAACAAAAAUUUUCCUACUCGUUUCACCAAGAUCAUCUAGGAGUUCAUCUAGCAACGAGUGAUUAGAUGCAUCUACAUACCUUUGUAGAUCGCGCACGGAAGCGUUCAAAAGAACGGUGAUGAUGUAGUCGUACUCGACGUGAUCCAAAUCACCGAUGACCAGCGCCGAACGGACGGCACCUCCGUGUUCAACACACGUACGGGACGGGAGACGUCUCCUCCUUCUUGAUCCAGCAAGGGGGGAGGAGAGGUUGAUGAAGAUCCAGCAGCACGACGGCGUGGUGGUGGAUGCAGGGCGUCACAGCAGCAGGGCUUCGCCGAGACUACGAGGGAGAGACGUAACGGGGGGAGAUGGAGGCGCCAGGGGCUGGUGUGAAAUCCCUCCUCUCCCCCCCACUAUAUAUAGGGGUGCCAGGGGGGGCGCCGGCCCUAGUAGAUGAGAUCUACUAAGGGGGGGCGGCGGCCAAGGGGAGGUUUCCCUCCCCCCCAAGGCACCUAGGGGUGCCUUCCACCACAUGGACUCUUCCAUGGUGGAAACCCUAGGCGCAUGGGCCUAUAGGGGCUGGUGCCCUUGGCCCAUCUAGGCCAAGGCGCACCCCCUACAGCCCAUGUGGCCCCCCGGGACAGGUGGCCCCACCCGGUGGACCCCCGGGACCCUUCCGGUGGUCCCGGUACAAUACCGAUAACCCCGAAACUUGUCCCGAUGCCCGAAAUAGCACUUCCUAUAUAUAAUUCUUUACCUCCGGACCAUUCCGGAACUCCUCGUGACGUCCGGGAUCUCAUCCGGGACUCCGAACAACAUUCGGGUUUCUGCAUAUACAUAUCUUCAUAACCCUAGCGUCAUCGAACCUUAAGUGUGUAGACCCUACGGGUUCGGGAGACAAGCAGACAUGACCGAGACGACUCUCCGGUCAAUAACCAACAGCGGGAUCUGGAUACCCAUGUUGGCUCCCACAUGCUCCACGAUGAUCUCAUCGGAUGAACCACGAUGUCGAGGAUUCAAUCAAUCCNNNNNNNNNNGGCCCAGUGAUACCUCUCCGUCAUACGGAGUGACAAAUCCCAGUCUUGAUCCAUGUCACCCAACAGACACUUUCGGAGAUACCCGUAGUCUACCUUUAUAGUCACCCAGUUACGUUGUGACGUUUGGCAUACCCAAAGCACUCCUACGGUAUCCGGGAGUUACACGAUCUCAUGGUCUAAGGAAAAGAUACUUUGACAUUGGAAAACUCUAGCAAACGAACUAUAUGAUCUUGUGCUAUGUUUAGGAUUGGGUCUUGUCCAUCACAUCAUUCUCCCAAUGAUGUGAUCUCGUUAUCAAUGACAUCCAGUGUCCAUAGUCAGGAAACCAUGACUAUCUGUUGAUCAACGAGCUAGUCAACUAGAGGCUCACUAGGGACAUGUUGGUGUCUGUUAUUCACACAUGUAUUACGAUUUCCGGAUAACACAAUUAUAGCAUGAAUAAAGACAAUUAUCAUGAACAAGGAAAUAUAAUAAUAAUGCUUUUAUUAUUGCCUCUAGGGCAUAUUUCCAACACAAUGAUGCUCACAUAAAGGAUAAGAAUUGAAACAUAAAGAGAGCAUCAUGAAGAAUAUGACUAGAACAUUUAAGUCUAACAUACUUCCUAUGCAUAGGGAUUUUGUGAGCAAACAACUUAUGGGAACAAUAAUCAACUAACAUAGGGAGGUAAAACAAGCAUAACUUCAAAACUUUAAGCACACAGAGAGGAAACUUGACAUUAUUGCAACUCCUACAAGCAUAUGUUCCUCCCUCAUAAUAAUUUUCAGUAGCAUCAUGAAUGGAUUCAACAAUAUAACUAGAACCUAAAGCAUUCUUUUCAUGAUCUACAAGCAUAUAAAAUUUAAUACUCUCCACAUAAGCAAAAUUCUUCCCAUUCGGAAUAGUGGGAGCAAACUCAACCAAAUAACUAUCAUGUGAUUGAAAAUUAAGAUCAAGAUGACAAGCUUCAUGGUUAUCAUUAUUCUUUAAAGCAUACGUGUCAUCACAAUAAUCAUCAUAGAUAGGAGGCAUGCUUUCAUCAUAAUAAAUUUGCUCAUCAAAGCUUGGGGGACAAAAAAUAUCAUCUUCAUCAAACAUAGCUUCCCCAAGCUUGUGGCUUUGCAUAUCAUUAGCAUCAUAGAUAUUCAAGGAAUUCAUACUAACAACAUUGCAAUCAUGCUCAUCAUUCAAAUAUUUAGUGCCAAACAUUUUAUAGAUUUCUUCUUCUAGCACUUGAGCACAAUUUUCCUUUCCAUCAUACUCACGAAAGAUAUUAAAAAGAUGAAGCGUAUGAGACAAACUCAAUUCCAUUUUUUAUAGUUUUCUUUUAUAAACUAAACUAGUGAUAAAACAAGAAACUAAAAGACUCGAUUGCAAGUCUGAAGAUAUAUCUUCAAGUGCUAACCUCCCCGGCAACGGCGCCAGAAAAGAGCUUGAUGUCUACUACACAACCUUCUUCUUGUAGACGUUGUUGGGCCUCCAAGUGCAGAGGUUUGUAGGAAAGUAGCAAAUUUCCCUCAAGUGGAUGACCUAAGGUUUAUCAAUCCGUAGGAGGCGUAGGAUGAAGAUGGUCUCUCUCGAGCAACCCUGCAACCAAACAACAAAGAGUCUCUUGUAUCCCCAACACACCCAAUACAAUGGUAAAUUGUAUAGGUGCACUAGUUUGGCGAAGAGAUGGUGAUACAAGUGGUAUAUGGAUGGUAGAUAAUAGUUUUUGUAAUCUGAAAAUAUAAAAACAGCAAGGUAACUAAUGAUAAAAGUGAGCGUAAAUGGUAUUGCAAUGUGUGGAAACAAGGCCUAGGGUUCAUAUUUUCACUAGUGUAAGUCCCCUCAACAAUACUAACACAAUUGGAUCACAUAACUAUCCCUCAACAUGCAACAAAGAGUCACUCCAAAGUCACUAAUAGCGGAGAACGAACGAAGAGAUUAUGGUAGGGUAUGAAACCACCUCAAAGUUAUUCUUUCCAAUCAAUCCAUUGGGCUAUUCCUAUAAGUGUCACAAACAGCCCUAGAGUUCGUACUAGAAUAACACCUUAAGAUACAAAUCAACCAAAACCCUAAUGUCACCUAGAUACUCCAAUGUCACCUCAAGUAUCCGUGGGCAUGAUUAUACGAUAUGCAUCACACAAUCUCAGAUUCAUCUAUUCAACCAACCCAAAGGACCUCAAAGAGUGCCUCAAAGUUCUACCAGAGAAUCACGUCGAAAAUAUGUGCCAACCCCUAUGCAUAGGUUCCCAUUGUCACGAAACACGCAAGUUGGUCACCAAAACAUACAUCAAGUGGCACGUGAUAUCCCAUUGUCACCACAGAUAUUCACGGCAAGACAUACAUCAAGUGUUCUCAAGUCUUUAAAGACUCAAUCCGAUAAGAUUACUUCAAAGGGGAAACUCAAUUCAUUACAAGAGAGAAGAGGGGGAGGAGAAACAUAAGAUCCAACUAUAAUAGCAAAGCUCGCGAUACAUCAAGAUCGUAUCAUCUCAAGAACACAAGAGAGAGAGAGAGAGAGAUCAAACACAUAGCUACUGGUACAUACCCUCAGCCCCGAGGGAGAACUACUCCCUCCUCGUCAUGGAGAGCGCCGGGAUGAUGAAGAUGGCCACCGGUGAGGGUUCACCCCUCCGGCAGGGUGCCGGAACAGGGUCCCGAUUGACUUUUGGUGGCUACGGAGGCUUAUGGCGGCGGAACUCCCGAUCUAUUGUCCGUUCUGGAAGUUUUAGGUCACGUAGGUAUAUAUGGGUGCAGGACGUACGUCAGGGGAGCCACAAGGGCCCCACGAGACAGGGGGGCGCGCCCUAGGGGGGCGCCCCCCACCCUCAUGAGCACCUCGUUUCUUCCUUGACGUGGGGUCCAAGUCCAUCAGGUGUGUUUCCUUCCAAAAAUAACUUCUCCAGUUGAUUUCGUUCCGUUUCGACUCCGCCUGAUAUUCCUUUUCUUCAAAACAGUGAAAUAGGCAUAAAACAACAAACCUGGGCUGGGCCUCCGGUUAAUAGGUUAGUCCCAAAAAUAAUAUAAAAGUGUAUAAUAAAGCCCAAUAUUGCCUAAGACAGUAGAUAAUAUAGCAUGGAGCAAUCAAAAAUUAUAGAUACGUUGGAGACGUAUCAGCUAUCAGCGCACACACACUCAUAGGCAGACCUUAGCAAUUUGAACAAGCAUUUGACUACAUUAUAGGCAAUUAACAAGCAUAGUUGAUAACCCACAAGUAUAGGGGAUCGCAAUAGUUUUCGAGGGUAAAGUACUCAACCCAAAUUUAUUGAUUUGACACAAGGGGAGCCAAAGAAUAUUCUCAAGUAUUAGCAGCUGAGUUGUCAAUUCAACCACACCUGGAAACUUAGUAUCUGCAGCAAAGUAUUUAGUAAGAAAGUAAUAUGAUAGUAGUGAUAACGGUAGCAAAAGGUAACAGUAGUAAAAGUAAUGUUUUUGGUAUUUUGUAGUGAUGAUAGCAAUAGCAACGGAAAAGUAAAUAAGCGAAGAACAAUAUAUGGAAAGCUCAUAGGCAAUGGAUCGCUGAUGGAGAAUUAUGCCGGAUGUGGUUCAUCAUGUAACAGUCAUAACCUAGGGUGACACAGAACUAGCUCCAGUUCAUCGAUGCAAUGUAGGCAUGUAUUCCGAAUAUAGUCAUACAUGCUUAUGGAAAAGAACUUGCAUGACAUCUUUUGUCCUACCCUCCCGUGGCAGCGGGGUCCUUACGGAAACUAAGGGAUAUUAAGGCCUCCUUUUAAUAGAGUACCGGAAAAAAGCAUUAACACAUAGUUAAUACAUGAACUCCUCAAACUACGGUCAUCAUUGGUAAGUAUCCCGAUUAUUGUCACUUCGGGGUUAACGGAUCAUAACACAUAAUAGGUGACUAUAGACUUGUAAGAUAGGAUCAAGAACACUCGUAUAUUGAUGAAAACAUAAUAGGUUCAGAUCUGAAAUCAUGGCGCUCGGGCCCUAGUGACAAGCAUUAAGCAUAGCAAAGUCAUAGCAAUAUCAAUCUCAGACCAUAGUGGAUACUAGGGAUCAAACCCUAACAAAACUAACUCAAUUACAUGAUAGAUCCCAUCCAACCCAUCACCGUCCACCAAGCCUACGAUGGAAUUACUCACGCACGGCGGAGAGCAUCAUGAAAUUGGUGAUGGAGGAUGGUUGAUGAUGACGAUGGCAAUGAAUUCCCCUCUCCGGAGCCCCGAACAGACUCCAGAUCAGCCCUCCCGAGAGGUUUUAGGGCUUGGCGGCGGCUUCGUAUCGUAAAACGCGAUGAAUUCUUCUCUCUGCCUUUUUUCUCCCCGAAACACAAUAUAUAGAGUUGGAGUUGGAGUCGGAGGGGCACCAGGUGGCCCACGAGGUAGGGGGCGCGCCCCCACCCUCGUGGACAGGUGGUGGGCCCCUUGGCCUUCAUCUUUUGCAGGUAUUUUUUAUAUUUUCCAAAAAGUUGCUCCGUGAAGUUUCGGGUCAUUCCGAGAACGUUUGUUUUUACACAUAAAUAACACCAUGGUAAUUCUGCUGAAAACAACGUCAGUCCGGGUUAGUUCCAUUCAAAUCAUGCAAGUUAGAGUCCAAAACAAUGGCAAAAGUGUUUGGAAAAGUAGAUACGACGGAGAUGUAUCAACUCCCCCAAGCUUAAACCUUUGCUUGUCCUCAAGCAAUUCAGUUGACAAACUGAAAGUAAUAAAGAAAAACUUUUACAAAAUAUGUUUGCUCUUGUUGUUGUAAAUAUGUAAAGCCAGCAUUCAAGUUUUCAGCAAAGAUUAUAACUAACCACAUUCGCAAUAACGCUUAGGUCUCAAGUUUACUCAUAUCAAUAGCAUAAUCAACUAGCGAGCAAUAAUAAUAAAUCUCGGAUGAUAACACUUUCUCAAAACAAUCAUAAUAUGAUAUAACAAGGUGGUAUCUCGCUAGCCCUUUCUGAGGCCGCAAAACAUAAAUGCAGAGCACCUUUAAAGACCAAGGACUGACUAGACAUUGUAAUUCAUGGUAAAAGAGAUCCAGUCAAGUCAUACUCAAUGUAAAUUAACAGUAAUGAAUGCAAAUGACAGUGGUGCUCUCCAACUGGUGCUUUUUAAUAAGAGGAUGAUGACUCAGCAUAAAAGUAAAUAGAUAGGCCCUUCGCAGAGGGAAGCAGGGAUUUGUAGAGGUGCCAGAGCUCGGUUUUGAAAUAGAGAUGAAUAAUAUUUUGAGAGGUGUACUUUUAUUGUCAACAUAACAACCAAGAGAUGGCAAUAUCUUCCAUGCUACACACAUUAUAGGCGGUUCCCAAAUAGAAUGGUAAAGUUUAUACUCCCCCUUCCACCAACAAGCAUCAAUCCAUGGCUUGCUCGAAACAACGAGUGCCUCCAACUAACAAGAGUCCCAGGAGGAGUUUUGUUUGCAAUUAUUUUGAUUUAGUUUGCAUAAAGCAUGGGACUGGGCAUCCCGGUGACCAGCCAUUUAUCUCGUGAGUGAGGAGCGGAGUCCACUCCUCUUGAGAAUAACCCGCCUAACAUGGAAGAUACGGACAACCCUAGUUGAUACAUGAGCUAUUCGAGCAUACAAAACAAGAUAUUUAUUUGAAGGUUUAGAGUUUGGCACAUACAAAUUUACUUGGAACGGCAGGUAGAUACCGUAUAUAGAUAGGUAUGGUGGACUCAUAUGGAAUAACUUUGGGAUUUAUGGGAUUGGAUGCACAAGCAGUAUUCCCGCUUAGUACAGGUGAAGGCUAGCAAAAGACUGGGAAGCGACCAGCUAGAGAGCGACAACAGUCAUGAACAUGCAUUAAAAUUAAUCAACACCGAAUGCAAGCAUGAGUAGGAUAUAAUCCGCCAUGAACAUAAAUAUCGUGAAGGCUAUGUUGAUUUUGUUUCAACUACAUGCAUGAACAUGCGCCAAGUCAAGUAACUUAAAUCAUUCAGAGGAGGAUACCACCCUAUCAUACCACAUCACAACCAUUUUAAUAGCAUGUUGGCACGCAAGGUAAACCAUUAUAACUCAUAGCUAAUCAAGCAUGGCACAAGAAACUAUGAUCUCUAGUUGUCAUUGCAAACAUGUUUAUUCAUAAUAGGCUGAAUCAGGAAUGAUGAACUAAUCAUAUUUACAAAAACAAAAGAGGUCGAGUUCAUACCAGCUUUCUCAUCUCAGUCAGUCCAUCAUAUAUCAUCAUAAUUGCCUUUCACUUGCACGACCGAACGAUGUGAAUAAUAAUAAUAGUGCACGUGCAUUGGACUAAGCUAGAAUCUGCAAGCAUUCCAUAAACAGGAGAAGACAAGGCAAUAUGGGCUCUUUUGUCAGAUCAACAAUAAUGCAUAUAAGAGGCACUUCAACAAUUUAAUUAUGGUCUUCUCCUAUCGAACCCCAAAGAAAAGAAAAGAAAUAAAAUUAUUUACACGGGAGAGCUCCCAACAAGUAAAAGAAGAACAGGAAAUCUUUUUGGGUUUUCUUUUUAAUUACUACUACAAGCAUGGAAAGUAAACUAAUUAAAAGCUACAACCAAUUUUUUUUAUUUUUCUUAAGGUUUAUCAAACACACAAGAAUAAAGCAUAAAAAGGAAUUAAACUAGCAUGGGUGAUACAAUGAAAAAGUAUGAGCACCGACAUCUAGCAAUGAGUGUGUGAACAUAAAUGUAAUGUCGGUGAGAAAUACAUACUCCCCAAGCUUAGGCUUUUGGCCUAAGUUGGUCUAUGGCCACGGCUAGCCUAGCGGAUAUCCAUAAUAGUAGUUGGGGUCGUACUGCGAUGAAGAAGAAGACUCCGAUUGCCACUGACUGGCAAUCAUCUCCUAAUUCCACUGGUAAUUAGACUGUUGUGAAGGAUCAACUUGUGGUUCCGGCUCUGGCUCCAUAGCUGGUGCAGGGUUCUGGUAGGCUUGAAUAGCCUUUAACGGAACAAGAUAUUGGCCUGCAGAUAAAUCAAACAAAGAAGGAGCAGACAGGUAAUAGUCUCAGGAUGAUGUUUACCAAAGAACAAUUUGUAUUUAAGCUCUCCUUCCCUAUUCUUAACAAUAAAAUCAUGUGCCACCAUACUUUUAUAAUCUAAAUAAACACGCGGCAGCACCUUUACUUCCUUCUCAUAAUGCCUAAUAGGCAUGUUAAAAUGUGCAGCUAGGCAUGAGGCAUAGAUGCCUCCAAACAUGGGGCCCUUGGUACGGUUCAGACUUAACCGUUUAGCAAUAAUGCCGCCCAUACUAACAUAGUUAUCACCGUAUAAACCGUGGAGCAAAAUAAUAAUAUCGGGGACACUAAGGUUUUCACAGUUUCCGCGACCAAUUAAACAACGACUAGCAAAUAAUGCAAAAUAGCGUAAAACAUGAAAAUGUAUGCUAGUGAUUCGUGCAUCGGAAACAUUCCUUGUUUCCCCUACAGUGAAGUGUCAAUAAACCCAUCCACAUCCUCACGAUGUGGUUCCUCUGUCUUGCCCUCGAAAGGGACUAAACAAACCCGACAAAAAUCAUAAAGUGACAUCUCCUUAUGCUCAUCAUAUAAAUAAAACUCCACCGUAGGUGGUGAGCUCCUAGAAUGGAAAUGAAAGUUUUGCACAAAGAUAUUUGUGAGUAAGAGAUACUGAUCGCGUUGGUCGUGGAGGAAAGCGGUGAGGCCUGCAUUCUUAGCCAAUUCGUAAAAAUCUUCAUAAAUCCCAGAUGCUCUCAAGAAAUCAUCGGAAGGCCAUUCACACGCCCGAAUCUCCGUGGUGCGAGGCAGAUUAUACUUAGGCUUCGGCGCCUUUUCCUUCGAGCUUCGGCUCGAUGAGCCCCUCAAAAGUCUCUUCAUCAUUUUCUAAAAAAUUCUGAAAUUUUUAGUAACUUCAAAAUAAAAGUAAACCAAACUCAAUAAUAUUGAUAGCAACUACUCCUACAAGUGCCUAGGGCCUAUAUCAUGCAUCAAAACUACUUUUGACCAUAUAGAUUUGACAUGCAAGCUCAAGAACAGGGUCACCUAAGCAGCAAAAAUUUGCAAUGAAUAAAGCACUAGAACAAAAACUAAUUGGACCAAUGGAGGAGUCACAUACCAAGGAACAAUCUCCCCAAGCAGUUUUGUGAGAGGUGCUUUGAGCAAGGAGAUCGAAAAUGGCAGCAACAUGAGCUAGAACUCAUGCUUGAGCUGGAUAUUCGUGUUUGGGGAGGAAGAAGGAGUGUGUGGGUGAAAGGAUAAGUGGAGGAGGGCCACCGUGGGCCCAUGAGGCAGGGGGGCGCGCCCAGGGGGUAGGCCGCGCCCUCCACCCUCGUGGGCAGGUGGUUGACCCCCCCUUGCUGUGUUCUCAGUGCCAAAUAUUCUCAAAUAUUCCAAAAAUCAUAUUUAAAUUUCAGGGCAUUUGGAGAACUUUUAUUUUCGGGGUAUUUUUAUAUUGCACGGAUAAUCAGAUAACAGACAGAAAAAUACUAUUUUUAUUUUAUUUAAUAUAAAUAACAAAAAAUAAAAGGAGGGUACAGCAGGUUGUGCCUUCUAGUUUCAUCCAUCUCAUGAUCAUCAAAAGGAAUCCACUAACAAGGUUGAUCAAGUCUUGUUAACAAACUCAUUCCGAAUAACAUGGAACCGAAGAAAUUUCGAAUAACACUAUGUUACCUACACGGAGAUAUGCACAUCCCCAAUAAUAAGAAUAUCAUAUUUCUUCUUGACAGUAGGAAGAGGAAAUUCAAAACCUCCAAAUAUAAUCGAUGGAAUUUUUCCAAUAGAGUCGAUACUAUGAACUUGAGGUUGUUUCCUCGGAAAGUGUACCGUAUGCUCAUUACUAUUAACAUGAAAAGUGACAUUGCCUUUAGUGCAAUCAAUAACAACCCCUGCAGUAUUCAAAAAGGGUCUUCCAAGAAUAAUAGACAUACUAUCGUCCUCGGGAAUAUUAAGAAUAACAAAGUCCGUUGAAAUAGUAACGUUUGCAACUACAACAGGCACAUCCUCACAAAUACCGACAGGUAUAGCAGUUGAUUUAUCAGCCAUUUGCAAAGAUAUUUCAGUAGGCGUCAACUUAUUCAAAUCAAGUCUACAAUAUAAAGAGAGAGGCAUAACACUAACACCGGCUCCAAGAUCACAUAAAGCAGUUUUAACAUAGUUUCUUUUAAUGGAGCAUGGUAUAGUUGGUACACUGGGAUCUCCAAGUUUCUUUGGUAUUCCACCCUUAAAAGUAUAAUUAGCAAGCAUGGUGGAAAUUUCAGCUUCCGGUAUCUUUCUCUUAUUUGUAACAAUUUCUUUCAUAUACUUAGCAUAAGGAUUCAUUUUGAGCAUAUCAGUUAAUCGCAUACGCAAAAAUAUAGGUCUAAUCAUUUAUGCAAAGCGCUCAAAAUCCUCAUCAUCCUUUUUCUUGGAUGGUUUGGGAGGAAAAGGUAUGGGUUUCUGAACCCAUGGUUCUCUUUCUUUACCGUGUUUCCUAGCAACAAAGUCUUUCUUAUCAUAACGUUGAUUCUUUGAUUGUGGGUUAUCAAGAUCAACAGCAAGUUCAAUUUCUAUAUCAUUAUCAUUACUAGGUUGAGCAUCAUCAUGAACAUUAUCAUUAACAUUAUUACUAGUUUCAGGUUCAUUAACAGAUUGUGUUUCAGCAUCAGAAAUAGAAAUAUCAUUUGGAUUCUCAGGUGUUUCAGUAAUAGGUUCACUAGAAGCAUGCAAAGUCCUAUCAUUUUUCCUUUUCUUCCUUUUAGAAGGACUAGGUGCAUCUAUAUUGUUUCUCUGAGAAUCUUGCUCAAUUCUCUUAGGAUGGCCUUCAGGAUACAAAGGUUCCUGAGUCAUUUUACCACCUCUAGUCAUAACUCUAACAGCAUUAUCAUUAUCCUUACUAUUCAAUUCAUUAAGCAAAUCAUUUUGAGCUUUAAGUACUUGUUCUACUUGAGUGGUAACCAUAGAAGCAUGUUUACUAAUAAGUUUAAGUUCACCUUUGACAUUAGCCAUACAAUCACCCAAGUGUUCAAGCAUAUUUGAAUUGUAUUUCAAUUGUCUACCAAAAUAAGCAUUAAAAUCUUCUUGCUUAGCCAUAAAUUUAUCAAACUCAUCUAAGCAUGGGCUAGCAAAUUUAGUAAAUGGGAUUUCAGCUUUAUCAUAUCUAUAGAGAGAAUUUACCUUUACUACCUGUGUCGGGUUAUCAAGACCAUGAGUUUCUUCAAUAGGUAGAGGAUUAAGAUCAUAUGUUUCUUCAACAUGCGGUAAAUUAAGACCAUGUAUUUCUUCAAUAGGAGGUAAAUUCUUAACAUCUUCAGCUUUAAUACCUUUUUGUUUCAUAGAUUUCUUUGCCUCUUGCAUAUCUUCAGGACUGAGAAAUAGAAUACCCCUCUUCUUCGGAGUUUGUUUAGGAAUAGGCUCGGGAAUUGGCUCCGGAGGUGUCCAAUUAUUUUCAUUUGUCAACAUAUUAUUCAAUAGAAUUUCAGCUUCAUCCGGUGUUCUUUCCCUGAAAACAGAACCAGCACAACUAUCCAGGUAAUCUUUGGAGGCAUCGGUUAGUCCAUUAUAAAAGAUAUCAAGUAUUCAUUUUUCUUAAGAGGAUGAUCAGGCAAAGCAUUAAGUAAUUGGAGAAGCCUCCCCAAGCUUGUGGGAGACUCUCUUCUACAAUUUGCACAAAAUUAUAUAUAUCCCUUAAAGCAGCUUGUUUCUUAUGAGCAGGGAAAUAUUUAGCAAAGAAGUAAUAAAUCAUAUCCUCGAGACUACGCACACAACCAGGAUCAAGAAAAUUAAACCACAUCUUAGCAUCACUCUUUAAUGAGAACGGAAAUAUUUUAAGGAUAUAAAAGUAACGAGUUCUCCCAUCAGUCGUGAACAGGGUGGCUAUUGCUACGUCUUGAGCUUGCGUGGGUUUUCCCCGAAGAGGAAGGGAUGAUGCAGCAGAGUAGCGUAAGUAUUUCCCUCAGUUUUUGAGAAACAAGGUAUCAAUCCAGUAGGAGCCCAUGCUCAAGUCCCUCGUACCUACACAAAGCGAUAGCUACUCGCAACCAACGCGAUUAGGGGUUGUCAAUCCCUUCACGGUCACUUACGAGAGUGAGAUCUGAUAGAUAUAAUAUUUUUUGGUAUUUUUGGUAUAAAGAUGCAAAGUAAAAAGUAAAGGCAAAGUAAAAAAGCAAAGCAAGAUUAAAGUGAUGGAGAUUGAUAUGAUGAGAAUAGACCCGGGGGCCAUAGGUUUCACUAGUGGCUUCUCUCAAGAGCAUAAGUAUUCUACGAUGGGUGAACAAAUUACUGUUGAGCAAUUGACAGAAUUGAGCAUAGUUAUGAGAAUAUCUAGGCAUGAUCAUGUAUAUAGGCAUCACGUCUGUGACAAGUAGAUCGAAACAAUUCUGCAUCUACUACUAUUACUCCACUCAUCGACCGCUAUCCAGCAUGCAUCUAGAGUAUUAAGUUAAAAACAGAGUAACGCCUUAAGCAAGAUGACAUGAUGUAGAGAGAUAAAUUCAUGCAAUAUGAAAUAAACCCCAUCUUGUUAUCCUCGAUGGCAACGAUACAAUACGUGCCUUGCUACCCCUUCUGUCACUGGGUAAGUACACCGCAAGAUCGAACCCAAAGCUAAGCACUUCUCCCAUGCCAAGAACUACCAAUCUAGUUGGCCAAACCAAACGGAUAAUUCGAAGAGACUUGCAAAGAUAACCAAUCAUACAGAAAAGAAUUCAGAGAAGAUUCAAAUAUUAUUCAUAGAUAGACUUGAUCAUAAACCCACAAUUCAUCGGUCUCAACAAACACACCGCAAAAAGAAGAUUACGUCAAAUAGAUCUCCACAAGAGAGGGGGAGAACUUUGUAUUGAGAUUCAAAGAGAGAGAAGAAGCCAUCUAGCUACUAACUAUGGACCCGAAGGUAUGAGGUAAACUACUCACACUUCAUCAGAGAGGCUAGGAUGAUGUAGAAGCCCUCCGUGAUGACGGCCCUCUUCCGGCGGAGCUCCGGAACAAGCCCCAAGAUGGGAUCUCGUGGAUACAGAAAGUUACGGCGGUGGAAUUAGGUUUUUGGCUCCUGUUCUGAUCGUUUGGGGGUACGUGUGUAUAUAUAGGAGGAAGAAGUACGCCGGAGGAGCAAUGAGGGGCCCACGAGGCAGGGGGCGCGCCUUGGGGGGGGCGCCCCCACCCUCGUGACCACCUCUUUUGUUCCUUGGAGCAGGGUCCAAGUCUCCUGGAUCACGUUCGGUGAGAAAAUCACGUUCCCGAAGAUUUUAUUCCGUUUGGACUCCAUUUGAUAUUCCGUUUAUCUGAAACACUGAAAUAGGCAAAAAACAACAAUUCUGGGUUGGGCCUCCGGUUAAUAGGUUAGUACCAAAAAUAAUAUAAAAGUGGAAAAUAAAGCCCAAUAUAGUCCAAAACAGUAGAUAAUAUAGCAUGGAGCAAUCAAAAAUUAUAGAUACGCUGGAGAAGUAUCAGGCAUCCCCAAGCUUAAUUCCUGCUCGACCUCGAGUAGGUAAAUGAUAAAAAGAAAAUUUUUGAUGCGGAGUGCUACUUGGCAUAAUUUCAAUGCAAAUCUUCUUAAUUGUGGUAUGAAUAUUCAGAUUAGAAAGAUUCAAGACAAAAGUUUAUAUUGACAUAAAAAUAAUAAUACUUCAAGCAUACUAACAAAGCAAUUAUGUCUUCUCAAAAUAACAUGGCCAAAGAAAGUUAUCCCUACAAAAUCAUAUAGUCUGGCUAGGCUCCAUCUUCACCACACAAAGUAUUUAAAUCAUGCACAACCCCGAUGACAAGACAAGCAAUUGUUUCAUACUCUAACUUUUUCAAAACUUUUUCAAUCUUCACGCAAUACAUGAGCGUGAGCCAUGGAUAUAGCACUAUAGGUGGAAUAGAAUGGUGGUUGUGGAGAAGACAAAAAGGAGAAGAUGGUCUCACAUCAACUAGGCGUAUCAACGGGCUAUGGAGAUGCCCAUCAAUAGAUAUCAAUGUGAGUGAGUAGGGAUUGCCAUGCAACGGAUGCACUAGAGCUAUAAGUAUAUGAAAGCUCAAAAGGAAACUAAUUGGGUGUGCAUCCAACUUGCUUGCUCAUGAAGACCUAGGGCAAUUUUGAGGAAGCCCAUCAUUGGAAUAUACAAGCCAAGUUCUAUAAUGAAAAUUCCCACUAGUAUAUGAAAGUGAUAACAUGAGAGACUCUCUACUAUGAAGAUCAUGGUGCUACUUUGAAGCAUAAGUGUGGUAAAAGGAUAGUAACAUUGUCCCUUCUCUCUUUUUCUCUCAUUUUUUAUUUAUAUUUUUUUUGUUUGGGCCUUUUCUCUUUUUUUAUGGCCUCUUUUUAUUUGGGCUUCUUUGGCCACUUUUUUUCGUCCGGAGUCUCAUCCCGACUUAUGGGGGAAUCAUAGUCUCCAUCAUUCUUUCGUCACUGGGACAAUGCUCUAAUAAUGAUGAUCAUCACACUUUUAUUUUUCUUAUAACUCAACAAUUACAACUCGAUACUUAGAACAAAAUAUGACUCUAUGUGAAUGCAUCCGACGGUGUACCAGGAUAUGCAAUAUGAUAAUGAUGGAAUGUGUCAUGAUGAACUAGAUGGUGGAAAGUUGCAUGACAAUAUAUCUCGGAAUGGCUAUGCAAAUGCCAUAAUAGGUAGGUAUGGUGGCUGUUUUGAGGAAGGUAUAUGGUAGGUGUAUGAUGCCGGUGAAAGGUCCGCGGUAUUAGAGAGGCUAGCAAAGGUGGAAGGGUGAGAGUGCGUAUAAUCCAUGGACUCAACAUUAGUCAUAAAGAACUCAUAUACUUAUUGCAAAAAUCUAGAAGUUAUCAAAGCAAAGUAUUAUGCGCAUGCUCCUACGGGGAUAGAUUGGUAGGAAAAGACCAUCGCUCGUCCCCGACCACCACUCAUAAGGAAGACAAUCAAUAAACAAAUCAUGCUUCGACUUCGUUACAUAACGGUUCACCAUACGUGCAUGCUAUGGGAAUCACAAACUCUAACACAAGUAUUCUUUAAAUUCACAACUACUCAACUAGCAUGACUUUAAUAUUAUCACCUCCAUAUCUCAAAACAAUUAUCAUGCUUCAAUCUUUUCUUAGUAUUCAACACACUCAAAAGAAAGUUUCACAAAUCUUGAAUACCAAGCAUAUUAUUAUUAAGCAAAUUACCAUGCUAUUAAGAGACUCUCAAAAUAAUUUAAGUGAAGCAUGAGAGAUCAAUAGUUUCUUUAAAACAAAUCCACCACCAUGCUCUAAAAGAUCUAAGUGAAGCACAUAGAGCAAAAUUAUAACACUCAAAAGAUAUAAGUGAAGCACAUAGAGCAAAAUUAUCUAGCUCCAAAGAUAUAAGUGAAGCACAUAGAGCAAAACUACUACGCUCAAAAGAUAUAAGUGAAGCACAUAGAGCAAAACUACUUAGCUCAAAAGAUAUAAGUGAAGCACAUAGAGUAUUCUAUCAAAUUUUUAAUUCAUGUAUGGCUCUCUCAAAAGGUGUGUACAACAAGGAUGAUUGUGGCAUACUAAGACACAAAGACACAAAUAAUACAAGACGCUCCAAGCAAAACACAUAUCAUGUUGGUGAAUAAAAAUAUAGCUCCAAGUAAAUUACCGAUGGAAGUGGACGAAAGAGGGGAUGCCUUCCGGGUCAUCCCCAAGCUUUGACUUUUUGGUGUCCUUGGAUUAUCUUGGGGGUGCCAUGGGCAUCCCCAAGCUUAGGCUCUUGCCACUCCUUGUUCCAUGAUCCAUCAAAAGAAUUCACCCAAAACUUGAAAACUUCACAACACAAAACUCAAAAUAGAAAACUCGUGAGCUCCGUUAGCGAAAGAAAACAAAAGACCACUUCAAGGUACUGUAAUGAACUCAUUAUUUAUUUAUAUUGGUGUUAAACCUACUGUAUUCCAACUUCUCUAUGGAUUAUAAACUAUUUUACUAGCCAUAGAUUCAUCAAAAUAAGCAAACAACACACGAAAAACAGAAUCUGUCAAAAACAGAACAGUCUGUAGUAAUCUGUAGCUAGCGCAAGAUCUGGAACCCCAAAAAUUCUAAAAUAAAUUGCUGGACGUGAGGAAUUUAUCUAUUAAUCAUAUGCAAAAAGAAUUAACUAAAUAGAACUCUUCAAAUAAAAAUGACAGCAGUUCUCAUGAGCGCUAAAGUUUCUGUUUUUACAGCAAGUUCAACAAGACUUUCCCCAAGUCUUCCCAACGGUUCUACUUGGCAUAAACACUAAUUAAACACAAAAAACACAACAAAAACAGAGUCUAAAUAAUUUAUUUAUUAUUAAUCAGGAGCAAAAAACAAGGAAUAAAAAUAAAAUUGGGUUGCCUCCCAACAAGCGCUAUCGUUUAACGCCCCUAGCUAGGCAUAAAAGCGAGGAUAGAUCUAAGUAUUGCCAUCUUUGGUAGGCAAUCCAUAAGUGGCUCUCAUGAUAGUUUCAUAUGGUAAUUUUAUUUUCUUUCUUGGAAAGUGUUACAUGCCUUUUUUUAAUGGAAAUUGAAAUCUAAUAUUCCCUUCCUUCAUAUCAAUAAUCGCACCAACCGUUCUAAGGAAAGGUCUACCAAGAAUAAUAGGGCAAGAAGGAUUGCAAUCUAUAUCAAGAACAAUGAAAUCUACUGGCACAUAAUUCCUAUUUGCAACAAUAAGAACAUCAUUAAUCCUUCCCAUAGGUUUCUUAAUAGUGGAAUCCGCAAGAUGCAAGUUUAAAGAGCAAUCAUCAAAAUUACGGAAAUCUAGUAAAUCACACAAAGUCUUGGGAAUAGUAGAGACACUAGCACCCAAAUCACACAAAGCAUAAAACUCAUGAUCUUUAAUUUUAAUUUUAAUAGUUUGUUCCCACUCAUCAUAGAGUUUUCUAGGGAUAGAAACUUUCAACUCAAGUUUUUCUUCAUAAGAUUGCAUCAAGGCAUCAAGAAUAUGUUUGGUGAAGGCUUUAUUUUGACUAUAAGCAUGUGGAGAAUUUAGCACAGAUUGCAACAAGGAAAUACAAUCAAUUAAAGAGCAACUUUCAUAAUUAAAUUCCUUGAAAUCCAAUAUAGUGGGUUUAGCAACAUCUAGAUUUUUAUUUCUUUCAAUCCCACUUUCAUCAAUUUCAUCAUCAAGAUCUAAAUACUCCGAAUUUUUAGAACACCUUCUAGGUAAAGGAAGAUCAUAUUCAGUUUCAUCGAGAUUAAUAUUGCAAAAUAAAGAUUUAAUAGGGGACACAUCAAUAACUUUUAGAUCUUCAUCUUGAUUUUCAUAGGUAUUGGAGGAACACGCUUUAAUAAAGGCAUCUUUGGAAGCACGCAUCCUAGCGGUUCUUUCCUUGCACUCAUCAAUGGAAAUUCUCAUGGCUUUGAGAGACUCAUUGAUAUCAUGCUUAGGAGGAAUAGAUAUAAGCUUUAAAGAAUCAACCUCAAGAGAAAUUCUAUCAACGUUUCUAGCCAAAUCAUCAACUUUAAGCAAUUUCUCCUCAAGAAAAGCAUUAAAAUUCUUUUGUGAAUUCAUAAACUCUUUAACACUAUUCUCAAAUUCAGAGGGCAUCUUAUUAUAAUUUCCAUAAGAUUUGUUGUAGGAAUUACCAUAAUUAUUAGAAGGAUUACUAGAAUAUGGCCUAGGAUUAAAAUUCCCUUUAUAAGCAUUGUUACCAAAAUUAUUCCUACCAACAAAAUUCACAUCCAUAGAUUCAUUGUUAUUCUCAAUCAAAGUAGACAAAGGCGUAUCAUUAGGAUCAGAAGAAACACUCUUAGUAGCAAAUAAUUUCAUAAGUUCAUCCAUCUUUCCACUCAACACAUUAAUUUCUUCUAUUGCAUGCACUUUUUUAUUAGAAGAUCUUUCAGUAUGCCAUUGAGAAUAAUUAACCAUAAUAUUAUCUAGGAGUUUAGUAGCAUCUCCUAAAGUGAUUUCCAUAAAAGUGCCUCCCGCGGCCGAAUCUAAAAGAUUUCUAGAAGCAAAAUUCAAUCCGGCAUAAAAUUUUUGUAUGAUCAUCCACAAUUUCAAACCAUGAGUAGGGCAAUUACGUAUCAUUAAUUUCAUUCUCUCCCAAGCUUGUGCAACAUGUUCAUGGUCAAGUUGUUUAAAGUUCAUAAUAUCGUUUCUAAGAGAGAUGAUCUUAGCGGGAGGAAAAUACUUAGAGAUAAAGCAUCUUUGCACUUGUUCCAUGAAUCAAUACUAUUCUUAGGCAAAGACGAAAACCAAGCUUUAGCACGAUCUCUAACCGAAAAAGGAAAUAGCUUCAAUUUAACAACAUCAUUAUUGACAUCUUUCUUCUUUUGCAUAUCACAUAAAUCAACAAAGCUAUUCAGAUGAGUAGCGGCAUCUUCACUAGGAAGGCCGGCGAAUUGAUCUUUCAUAACAAGAUUCAACAAAGCAGUAUUAAUUUGACAAGACUCAGCAUCGGUAAGAGGAGCAAUCGGAGUGCUAAGGAAAUAAUUAUUAUUGGUAUUGGUGAAGUCACACAAUUUAGUAGUAUCUUGAGCCAUCGCGACAAGCAAGCAAUCUAACACACGAGCAAACAAAAAGCAACGGGCAAAAAGAGGCAAAUAGAGAGGGAGGAUAGGGAGAGAGAGCGCGAAUAAAACGGCAAGGGUGAAUUGGGGGGAGAGGAAAAUGAGAGGUAAAUGGCAAAUAAUGUAAUGUGAGAGAUAGGGAUUGUGAUGGGUACUUGGUAUGUUGACUUUUUGCGUAGACUCCCCGGCAACGGCGCCAGAAAUCCUUCUUGCUACGUCUUGAGCUUGCGUUGGUUUUCCUCGAAGAGGAAGGGAUGAUGCAGCAGAGUAGAGUAAGUAUUUCCCUCAGUUUUUGAGAACCAAGGUAUCAAUCUAGUAGGAUCCCACGCUCAAGUCCCUCGUACCUGCACAAAGCGAUAGCUACUCGCAACCAACGCGAUUAGGGGUUGUCAAUCCCUUCACGGUCACUUACGAGAGUGAGAUCUGAUAGAUAUAAUAUUUUUUGGUAUUUUUGGUAUAAAGAUGCAAAGUAAAAAGUAAAGGCAAAGUAAAAAAGCAAAGCAAGAUUAAAGUGAUGGAGAUUGAUAUGAUGAGAAUAGACCCGGGGGCCAUAGGUUUCACUAGUGGCUUCUCUCAAGAGCAUAAGUAUUCUACGGUGGGUGAACAAACUACUGUUGAGCAAUUGAUAGAAUUGAGCAUAGUUAUUAGAAUAUCUAGGCAUGAUCAUGUAUAUAGGCAUCACGUCCGUGACAAGUAGAUCGAAAUGAUUCUGCAUCUACUACUAUUACUCCACUCAUCGACUGCUAUCCAGCAUGCAUCUAGAGUAUUAAGUUAAAAACAGAGUAACGCCUUAAGCAAGAUGACAUGAUGUAGAGAGAUAAAUUCAUGCAAUAUGAAAUAAACCCCAUCUUGUUAUCCUCGAUAGCAACGAUACAAUACGUGCCUUGCUGCCCCUUCUGUCACUGGGUAAGGACACCGCGAGAUCGAACCCAAAGCUAAGCACUUCUCCCAUGGCAAGAACUACCAAUCUAGUUGGCCAAACCAAACGGAUAAUUUGAAGAGACUUGCAAAGAUAACCAAUCAUACAUAAAAGAAUUCAGAGAAGAUUCAAAUAUUAUUCAUAGAUAGACUUGAUCAUAAACCCACAAUUCAUCGGUCUCAACAAACACACCGCAAAAAGAAGAUUACAUCGAAUAGAUCUCCACAAGAGAGGGGGAGAACUUUGUAUUGAUAUUCAAAGAGAGAGAAGAAGCCAUCUAGCUACUAACUAUGGACCCGAAGGUCUGAGGUAAACUACUCACACUUCAUCGGAGAGGCUAGGAUGAUGUAGAAGCCCUCCGUGAUGACGGCCCUCUUCUGGCGGAGCUCCGGAACAGGCCCCAAGAUGGGAUCUCGUGGAUACAGAAAGUUGUGGCGGUGGAAUUAGGUUUUUGGCUCCUAUUCUGAUCGUUUGGGGGUAUGUGUGUAUAUAUAGGAGGAAGAAGUACGCCGGAGGAGCAACGAGGGGCCCACGAGGCAGGGGGCGCGCCCUAGGAGGGGGCCACCCUCGUGACCGCCUCUUUUGUUCCUUGGAGCAGGGUCCAAGUCUCCUGGAUCACGUUCGGUGAGAAAAUCACGUUCCCGAAGAUUUUAUUCCGUUUGGACUCCGUUUGAUAUUCCGUUUAUCUGAAACACUGAAAUAGGCAAAAAAACAACAAUUCUGGCCUGGGCCUCCGGUUAAUAGGUUAGUCCCAAAAAUAAUAUAAAAGUGGAAAAUAAAGCCCAAUAUAGUCCAAAACAGUAGAUAAUAUAGCAUGGAGCAAUCAAAAAUUAUAGAUACGUUGGAGACGUAUCAGCUAUAUCAUUCAAUUUAGUAAGAUGUGCCACAACAGUUUCAGAUUCAUAGCCAUGAAAAGGAUCAGAUUCAACCAAAGUAAUUAUAUCAGGAUCAACAGAGAAUUCAUAAUCCUUAUCGGUAACACAGAUAGGUGAAGUAGCAAAAGCAGGGUCAGGUUUCAUUCUAGCAUUUAGAGAUUGCUUGUUCCAUUUAGCUAAUAACCUCUUAAGUUCGUAUCUAUCUUUGCAAGCUAAAAUAGCUAAAGAAUCUUCUUGAUCAAAAAUAUAACCCUCAGGAAUAACAAGUGAUUCUUCAUCAUCACUUUCAUCAGUAUUAUCAGAUUCAAUAUUUUCAAUCUCUCUAGCCCUAGCAAGUUGUUCAUCAAGAAAUUCACCAAGUGGCACAGUAGUAUCAAGCAUAGAAGUAGUUUCAUCAUAAGUAUCAUGUAUAGCAGAAGUAGCAUCAUCAAUAACAUGCGACAUAUCAGAACGAAUAGCAGAAGCAGUUUUAGGUGUCGCAAGCUUACUCAAAACAGAAGGUGAAUCAAGUGUAGAGCUAGAUGGCAGUUCCUUGCCUCCCCUCGUAGUUGAGGGAUAAAUCUUGGUUUUUGGAUCUCUCAUGUUCUUCAUAAUGAUAAGCAGAUAUAAAUCCCAAGUGACUCAAAGAAUAGAGCUAUGCUCCCCGGCAACGGCGCCAGAAAAUAGUCUUGAUAACCCACAAGUAUAGGGGAUCGCUACAGUUUUCGAGGGUAAAGUAUUCAACCCAAAUUUAUUGAUUCGACACAAGGGGAACCAAAGAAUAUUCUCAAGUAUUAGCAGCUGAGUUAUCAAUUCAACCACACCUGGAAACUUAGUAUCUACAGCAAAGUAUUUAGUAGCAAAGUAAUAUGAUAGUAGUGAUAACGGUAGCAAAAGGUAACAGUAGUAAAAGUAAUGUUUUUGGUAUUUUGUAGUGAUGAUAGCAAUAUCAAUGGAAAAGUAAAUAAGCGAAGAACAAUAUAUGGAAAGCUCGUAGGCAAUGGACCGGUGAUGGAGAAUUAUGCCGGAUGUGAUUCAUCAUGUAACGGUCAUAACCUAGGGUGACACAGAACUAGCUCCAGUUCAUCAAUGCAAUGUAGGCAUGUAUUCCGAAUAUAGUCAUACAUGCUUAUGGAAAAGAAAUUGCAUGGCAUGUUUUUUCCAACCCUCCCGUGGCAGCGGGGUCCUUACGAAACUAAGGGAUAUUAAGGCCUCCUUUUAAUAGAGUACCGAAACAAAGCAUUAACACAUAGUGAAUACAUGAACUCCUCAAACUACGGUCAUCACCGGUAAGUAUCCCGAUUAUUGUCACUUCGGGGUUAACGGAUCAUAACACAUAAUAGGUGACUAUAGACUUGCAAGAUAGGAUCAAGAACAUUCAUAUAUUGAUGAAAACAUAAUAGGUUCAGAUCUGAAAUCAUGGCACUCAGGCCCUAGUGAAAAGCAUUAAGCAUAGCAAAGUCAUAGCAACAUCAAUCUCAGACCAUAGUGGAUACUAGGGAUCAAACCCUAACAAAACUAACUCGAUUACAUGAUAGAUCCCAUCCAACCCAUCACCGUCCACCAAGCCUACGAUGGAAUUACUCACGCACGGCGGAGAGCAUCAUGAAAUUGGUGAUGGAGGAUGGUUGAUGAUGACGAUGGCGACGAAUUCCCCUCUCUGGAGCCACGAACGCACUCCAGAUCAGCCCUCCCGAGAGGUUUUAGGGCUUGGUGGCGGCUCCGUAUCGUAAAACGCGAUGAAUUCUUCUCUCUGGCUUUUUUUCUCCCCGAAACACAAUAUAUAGAGUUGGAGUUGGAGUCGGAGGGGCACCAGGGGACCCACGAGGUAGGGGGCGCGCCCCCCACCCUCGUGGACAGGUGGUGGGCCCCCUGGCCUUCAUCUUUUGUAGGUAUUUUUUAUAUUUCCCAAAAAGUUGCUCCGUGAAGUUUCGGGUCAUUCCGAGAACGUUUGUUUCUGCACAUAAAUAACACCAUGGUAAUUCUGCUGAAAACAACGUCAGUCCGGGUUAGUUCCAUUCAAAUCAUGCAAGUUAGAGUCCAAAACAAGGGCAAAAGUUUUUGGAAAAGUAGAUACGAUGGAGACAUAUCAAUAGUCAUAAUAACAGCUAAGGCAAGUGCUUCGUCGUGCGGUUGGCACCUUGAAGGUGUGCAGGAUCAUCACCUUUAAAGUGAUGAGGUAGCCGAUCGGGAUCUGGUGAGCAACAGCAAAGCCGACCCAACCCUGAUCCAUGGCUAGCCUCCCGUUGAUCUCUGUGAGCUUGACCUUCUAGGUGCAACCGGUGUUCGUCUUGAGUUUGAUCUUACGUGAGAUGGUGUCCAUGUGUUUACAAAAGUUGCCAAGGAUUGGCAGUAACAUUCAAACCGACAUGGAAAACAUGUUCAUCUACCACGACAGGAAGGCCAUCAUCAUUGCCGACAAGCCCCUAUAGAAAGAUCAAGAGUUUUCACGCCGACAAGACCAAUUCGAGCCCUAUAUCAACACACAAAUCUAAUCGGAGUUGGACACCCCAAUCGAACCCCAUAUCCACACCCUAAUCUAACCCCCAUGGAGACACCCAAAUCUAACCGUACUUGGACACCCAAAUCGAAUCUCAUAUCCAGACCCUAAUCAAGUUGUAUGAAACACUUAAUCAACACCCUAAUGGGGUCGUGUGAACCCUAAAUCUAACCCUAAACCCAAAUCAGUGGGUACAUGGAUCCCUAAAUCAGGCAGACAAGGGCUUAGCGCCAUUAACGAAGGGAUGAUGGAGGGUGAUGAAGCUGGCGGUCACCGUCGGUGCUCGCCAUCUAGAUCUUCGACCCGCUGAUACCCUCCGCCGCCCCAGUGAGAGAGAGGGUGAUAGUGGAGAGAGGGAUAGUGAUCGGUGAGAUAGAGAUCAGGGGAUUUAUGGCACGACUUCGGGAAACAACAUGACGUCUCCCACUCGUGCCCGCGUGUGUAACCGCCUGCAGCCACAUGCCGUCCUUUCCCUCAAUCGGGCCUGACUCGUUGGACACAAUCUAUUCGAUCACUUCCUCUAGAGCUGGGCUUGGGCUGCUAUGAGUACCGUGCUAUGCAGGCUCGGCCACACGCGCUGGUAACCAAACGGGUUGCAUCCCCAGGGCUUGGUUGGGUGUUAUGCUGGCAACCAAACACACCCUUGAGCACCGGCGACCUCAUCAAUAAGUUUUUUUAGGGGAACCUCUUCAAUAAGUGAACCUUUCUACCAAGAUGCAGUAUUCAGAAACUGCAUCAACAACAAAAUUUCAGCGUUGGCAGAGCCAUGUCUUUUUUCUUUCUUUCUAGAUGGCAGAACCAGAUCUUAGAGGGGGCGGCUUGUUACCAGCUGGUUACCAAUGAAAGCACAACUUGCCACUUAGACUCCAUUGGUUAAACCAGACAGUAGAUCACAGAAAAACACCAGAUUAUAAAUAAACAAUGUUGUUAACACUUUAUAUUGUGCCUUUUAUACAGAGUGCUCAUACCAUUUGAUCAUCGGACUGGAUGGCAUGAACCUCCAGCUGUUAAAAAAUAAAAAAUUAGAGCACGCCAAGAGCAUGCCACAGCUUUAUAGAAGGCAGAAAUAUCGUUUCAACCAACACUCUGUAACCUCCAGCUGGUAAUUACAGUACAAAAUUGUUUCAACCAAGUGAGAUAGGAUAAAAGCCACGAUGAGCUGAGGUGGUAUCAAAACAGGAUCAGCAGCAGCAAGGAUUGGUAAAAAUCUUCCCCAGAAUCUCUCUGAAAAAGGUACCGAUCCCGCAUUCUCAGUUUCUCACAGCUAGGGUCGCUAAAGAACAAAUAUGCAGACAAUGCCUCUCAUGAAGGAUGCCGCUUCAGCACUUGGAUUCCUGACCGCUGUUAUCAUUGGUCGUCCAGCGUGACAGCGCCUCCCUCGACCUCCAGCUCGCUUGGCUCGACCGACGACAGCAAAAUGUCGUCAAAGCCUCACCUGACGAAUAUGGAACAAGUUUAUGCAUCCGUACAGGUGGCUCCAAAAAAAUCACUGGUGCAACAACAUGAGUUGAUCGAUCGACAAGGAACUCCUCUCUUUUUCUGCAGACAGACAAUCAGAACGAGUGACUGAACAAGGACAGUAUUAUUGUACAUGUUCUGUGGGCAGGCCAUUACACACUUUUAAGUAUCUCACUGUUAACUGUUAAGUAAUCUCACUGCUAUACAUAACAUAACAAUAUGUCGUAUAUUUAAAACUCAAGCGCUAGCAGUGGCGUCAUGUGCAUGCAUAGACUGCUAGCACCCUAAUGCAAAUUGGAGAUUUAAAUCGAGAACUUCAAAACUUCAACUGGAACCUAUAACUAGGGAAGGCGUGUAAAGGCUCAAAGAAACAAGCCAUAGCGAAACAAAGCGAUGUGCAUAGAAAAUAUUGGCCAAUAUCAACAGAGAACUCACGUUUCCAGGUAGCUCCACAUUUUCACUAUGGUAAAAAGUGCAAUCCAAUGGAUACAGCUUCAAGAUUCAACUCACUAACAUCUAGGCAAUUCCUAAUGAACAGAUAUGCUCCCAUUUCUAGCAUUUCUUCCAACAUUUGGUUGCACAAAAAUAAUAUAGCCGUGAGAAGCUCCUACCAAGGAACACAAAACAGAAAAAUAUUCUCCCAGAUGAUAUAUUUAACAUGCAUAACUGUUUGAGAGAAUCAGAUAUAAGACCUAGUCAUCCCAAAUGUAACUUUUUAAUACUCCCUCUGAUCCAUAUUAAUCGUCGCUGAUUUAGUACAACUUUUGGAGUGCCCCUUUGCCAGGCAGACUUGGCGUGAGAUCCUCUCCUGGCUAAGGAUGACCGCCGCAGGCCCAAAUCACGAAGAAUCCCUCAUGGACUGGUGACUGCACGCCAGGCAGAACACACCGACAAUGAUGCGCAAAGAAUGAUAACAGAAUUUUAAGAAAAAAAUUGAAGUGAUUAGCUAAAGUCUCACCAAAUAUUUUGUUACAUGGAAGGAACUCCCAAGUUCAGUUUCACUUGUGAUAUAUGUACCGGUGAAAUUUUACCAUCCCGAGAGACAAAAGGCAGGCUCGGUUCAGAGUACAGUUAGCAAGGUUAAGCUGUAUCGCAUGGCAUUCACUCUCAUAUCUUCAUAGAGUAGUAGUCUAUAUAUAAACUUAAUGGACAGAGGUUGAAAGCUUGAAACACUUUCUCAUAUCAUAUCUCCCAGAAGGUCAAAAAAGCAUCCAACAUGAAGCAAAAUUACCAAUUAGCCAUGAUAUGUUCAUAUAUGAAAAUUAUUUUCGUCCAGCAUGUAGUACAUAAACUAAGUAUUCUCUGAAUAUCAAUAAAAUAUAUUAGAAAUGACCAAUGAUGGCGACAAGAUAAGUAGAUGUACAAAGAAAGGUAAUUUUGGAGCACUCACUGAAGUAUUCGUAUUUGAAGAAUUUUAAACCCACACCCUUUAAGGCCAUGUUCUUUAAAGCAAUACAUCGGAAAAUAAAAGAACAUUAAAUCUGCAGUAAUUUAAAGAAGAAUAUCUAACACCAUACCUAACAGAUGUUGCACAAAGCAGAACAUCUACAUUUAUGUUUAACAGACUAUUCUAAAAUACAAACAGGACUGAGCAGAAACUAGCCACUCCGAAAUGAAAAUAACCAAGGAGCAUGCCAGAACGCAUGACCUUCCUGACCGAAGAGGAAUAAAAAGAACAUAUGGAACAACUGCACCAUGACAUUUAGCAGCUAGAAAUAACAUAGGGAACAAGAGGUCGGGAGGCUAGCAGAACAUUGUGAACUAGUAUUCCUGAAACGGGAACUAGUAUUCCUGAAAUCGGAACUAGAGGUCAGGAGGUCAGCUAGAUCGUAGUUAAAUGGGAACUAGUAUUCCUGAAAAUGGCAUCCGCAACACAUAGUGGAUUUAGGUCGAUUUUACAGUUAUUUGCAGUACAUUGCUUGGUAUGCACAUUUACAUAAAAAAAAAACCCUUCUCAAUCAGCCACGCUGGUGGCAAAAAAACAAGCAGAACAAAUCAAGCACAAAUAAGUUGAAUUUAUUGAGCAUUUUUUUGUACCAAACAUGGUUGCAUAGUAUACUUGUGCGCUUAUGUUCCGUCCUGUGCCACUUCAGAACAUCUCAAGGACUAAAUGCAGGAUGCCUGGUAAUUAAAUAUAUGCUCCUAACACCACCGGGUAUAUGUAAAUCAAGACAUAUCUAGGAUAUCAGACUGGUGAAGGAACAAAUUAAACUUAUUCUUGUAUGCAACCUGAGACACGCAGCUUGCGAAAACCCCUUGAUUUCGCUAGAGCUAGCGAUUCUAGACAGCGGGCCUCUCUUUGUAUUGGUGUUAUGUCAGCAAAGGCGUUGAAUGCCUCUCGGCACUCCUAUGCAAUGUGAUGCGUCUCCUCACAACGUAUUCUAGAAAAGAAAGUGAAUAUUUCUUACACUUUCAGUUUGCCAUGUUCAUCUACUUUCUACCCAAAGGCAUCUUGAACGAUUAAGUUUCCACUCUGUCAAAUUAGCAUUGGGCAACAAUGUAACUGUUGAUGUAGGUCUAGCUUUUGCACCGACGAGAAGAAAAGAGGAUCAGCAUAGGAAUGAGAAUCAAUGAGAUCUGUCUUGCUUGGGAUGCUGACAUGUACAGCAGCCGAGCUGAUCUGGUGCAGGUCUGCAGGAGCAGUUUCCAAUUUUUUAAAUAAGUUGAGAUUCUUGUUGCCUCCUGGUAUAAUAUAUGUGCCCAUCUCACAUAAUUUUCAGGUCAUGAGUUCUUACUAAGCUGUGGCGUCGAUACUACCACCCAUAUGCAACAUUGCGUGCGUGGUCACACGUACCACCUGUGAAUCUAGUAAUCGACAACGUCAGAUCAACUGGAUCCUAAGUCUGCCUAGAGAUAUGAGAAGCAGGGAGCUUCACAUGGAGAGAUGCGACUUUUGAUCGGCCGGGCUUCCUGGGUUCCAGUGCUGCCCAUGAAAGCUCACAGCUUGGUAGCUCUCCCGUCCAUUUGAUGUGUGCGCCGCACUGCUGCUACAGAUCUGACACUGCUAGCCAACUGGAGUAUCUCUGAAGUCAACUAGAUCGUGUGCAGCGGUGCUGUGCUAUGCUGCUAAUCAGCUCAACUAGGGCACCUGACAAUUUUUGCCUGCUCCAUUUGGAAUCUGCCCACGCCUCCCAAGCUCUGCUUCUCAUGGCCAACCCAUUACCACCAGUGAGGCAUUAAUUAGUUCCAUGCAUGGCCCUGCAAUCUAGGCUAAGAUGCUGUGCACGGAGAACCAUGGAGCCUAUACAAUGUCAACGAAAUAAAAUUAUCAGAGAAACCCAGUGAGUUAUACUGCUUGAUGAUUCUUUCUCCCUCUUUUAUCUGACAUGAAACAAAUGCGGGCUGGUUGCGAGGAGCUGACCUAAGAAUUAACAAAUGCAGGCCGGUGCAGUGCGUGACAGUGUCAGAAGCUUCUACAAAGUCAGAUCUAGCGAAACAUAGCCAUUACCGAGGUUAACACCACUAUAAAUGGCUGGCAUUGCUGCCCAUUCUGGACAAACCCAUAAGCCAAACAAAAACAGCUCUCUGGUAGGUGUUUACGCUUAGCGUUUUCAUCCUACAAUGAGAUCACUGCCCAUUGUAGUACUUUCCCUCCUGAUUCUUGUCCUAGCUGCCCAUGUAUCCCAAGCCGAUGACAAGGGCUCUUCGGUUGGAAAUGGGAAGGAUUCCCAUGCCGGUGAUGAUCAUAAAUCAAAUGGUGUAGGGCCGGUGAAAAAACCCAAAUGCCCUAAGCCCGGACAUGGUCCAAAAAACCAUGACAAUGAUGGUCGAGGACCACCAGAAAAGGAGUGCGAUGAUGAAGAGGCAACACCGUCAUCGCCUGGGCCUUCCCCAAACCAAGGUAAUGGUUCGCCAUCACCACCGCCAUCCCCGUCCUAUUCACCACCCAUGACUCCAUCACCUCCACCUCCAUCAGAAACUAGUCCUCCUACUGCACCUCCACCCUACCAACCUAGCAAUCAAUCUCCUCCCCCGCCGUCAUCUUCAAGCCCCCCACCAACACCUUCAUCUAGUCCCCCUGUUACACCUCCAACCUACGAACCUAAUGAUCAAUCACCACCACCACCAUUGAACCCUCCGCCCAUUCCCCCACCACCUCCAUCUAGUGCGCCUGCGGCACCUCCAAUGAACCCGACUAAUGAUCAGCCUNNNNNNNNNNNNNNNNNNNNNNNNNNNNNNNNNNNNNNNNNNNNNNNNNNNNNNNNNNNNNNNNNNNNNNNNNNNNNNNNNNNNNNNNNNNNNNNNNNNNNNNNNNNNNNNNNNNNNNNNNNNNNNNNNNNNNNNNNNNNNNNNNNNNNNNNNNNNNNNNNNNNNNNNNNNNNNNNNNNNNNNNNNNNNNNNNNNNNNNNNNNNNNNNNNNNNNNNNNNNNNNNNNNNNNNNNNNNNNNNNNNNNNNNNNNNNNNNNNNNNNNNNNNNNNNNNNNNNNNNNNNNNNNNNNNNNNNNNNNNNNNNNNNNNNNNNNNNNNNNNNNNNNNNNNNNNNNNNNNNNNNNNNNNNNNNNNNNNNNNNNNNNNNNNNNNNNNNNNNNNNNNNNNNNNNNNNNNNNNNNNNNNNNNNNNNNNNNNNNNNNNNNNNNNNNNNNNNNNNNNNNNAGCCCCCCACCACUAGCUCCAGCCACCCCACCAACACCUCCAUCUAAUCCCCCUGUUACGCCUCCAUCCUACGAACCUAAUGAUGAAUCGCCACCACCUACAUUAAAUUCCCCUGCCAUUCCCUCACCACCUCCAUCAAGCCCAACUGUGGCACCUCCUAUGAACCCGACUAAUGAUCAGCCUCCUCCACCAUCGUCGUCAUUUAGCCCCCCACCAAUAGCUCCAACUACUCAACCACCUCCCUCUAGCCCACCUGCUACACCUCCAACAGACUCAACUGAUGAGGAACCUCCUACAUCACCACCAGCAUCCAGUCCACCAGCAACUCUAUCAAGUCCUCCACCACCGUCAUCGAGUACACCACCGGCUCCAUCCAUCACCACACCACCUUUGGCUAGUCCCCCUGCUACACCUCCAACGUACCAAGCCAAUGACCAGUCCCCUCCACCUCCACCAUCAUAUAGUCCUCCGCCAUCAGCUUUAGCUAGUCCUCCACCACCAUCACCACUGAGUCCACCAGCAAUAGCACCAACCACUAGCGCACCUCCUCCAUCUACUCCCCCAUCGCCUAUGUCUAGUCCACCAGCAACACCUCCAACAGACUCAACUGAUGAGCAAACUCCACCACCACCAN